CAGAAACAACAUGUGGAAGAUCAAAUACGAUGCAUUUUAACUGAGGGAAGGAUUCGGCAAUGGCCUUUCCCAUGGUUCCUGUACCUCCCCCAACAUCAACCAAUGACUCCAAUCCCAUAAACACCCCUUUGCAUUUCUCAAUCACCGAACUAGUGAUUAGUUGAGCAUCACUUGCCAUAGCAUCAUUGAAUAAGAUAUUAAUUCUGGGAUCACUGCCAGCAUACUCCCAAAACAAUUUCCCAUGUUCCAUUUCAAAGGGUGUAGUAAUACCAUUUUUGAACCAACUAGAAAACUGAUUCCAUGGAUUUGUUAAAACUGGAUCNAGCAUGGCCUGCAGGAAAGGUGCCAUACUCAUUUCAUGGCUCUUAAGCAGAAGGAAAGAGGCAUCAGUGAGUGCAUAUUUGACUUCAAGCUCAUUAUCGGUGUGAUUGAGUUGAGAGAAGAAGCCAGAAUGGACCAUGAAUCGCAUCAAGCGAGGGAUGAAGUGAGUUUUGGAAGAGUGAAUUGGAAGUGAAGCAAUGAGGUUUGAGAGUGAGAUAGGUUGGCCAUGGUUGUGUAUGAUGUCUGCUAUGCCUAACUCAACAACACAUUUAAGGGACAUGGAGUUUAUGAAGCUAAAAAUAUGAUUCCAUAUGUGUGUUUGAGCCCUCAGUAGUUUGGCGUCAUGGGAUUCCAUAAUUUCUUGCAUAAACUACUUGUUCAAUUUGGAGUAUGUAACCUCACACACCAUUUGGAUCUAUUUAUAAGCAACAGAAUAUCCAGCAGCCACUUUAUUAAUAAUUCAUAGGAUAUGACGGUAGAUUAUCAUGCCUCCAUACAAAUAUAAUAUAUUAUUUGUCUUCGUUACCUCCAUACUAAUCAUCUUAAAUUUUAACUUAUGGGUCUCACAACACACCAUUUUGGCUGUCUUUGGUGAAAAGGAUGCAAAUUGAACCUUUUAAGGAUUCCGAAAUUACUCCUCUGUGCGUCCUCCAUUUUUAACUUUGAUUUCAUUCCUCUCGAUCCUCUCCAUUUCGGUUCUCUUUUCAACCUCCAUCAAAAAUGUACUUUGCCCAACUCAUUAUGGAGCAAAGACCCUAUGUGAGUAUUUCAGCAGGUAAUUCAACUCCUCAGCAUUUGAAGCCAAGACAUGCCUUAGUAAUCAAUUACAUGUAAUUGAUUACUAGUGGCUUAAUGGGUAAUUAUACAAAAACUUGAAACUCGUUUUCCAGUUGGGAUAACGUUACUCUCCAUGGUGAUUUUUCAAUGUUUAAGGCUGUCUUUGUCCACUUUUUUCAAUGGACGACUCAUGUUGGUCAUGGUAAAUGGUUGCAAAUGCAUAAAAACUCUACUUUACCCAGCUCAUUGUGGAGUAAAGACCCCAUGUGGGUGUUUCAGCAAGGUAGCUCAAGUACCUUAGCAGUUGAAGCCAAUAUAUGCCUUGGUAAUUGAUUACAUUGUGCCUGUAAUCGAUUAUCAGUGACUUAAUGGCUAUUUGUACAAAAACUUGCACAUCACUCCUCAGUUGGGAGAAUGUAACUCACCGUGGUGAUUUUUAUGUGCUUAAGGUUGGCUUUGUCCAUUUUUUUUUCAAUGGAUGACUCGUGUUGGUCAUGGUUGAUGGUUGCAAGUUUAUAAAGAAAUAAAAUAAAAUAGAAUAAAAUAAGAAACAUGAAACAAUAACUUUAAAGUAAACUCAUUUAAGAAGCUUAGAAAAAUAUUGUUUUGGGAAAUUAAUUGCAUUUAGUACAAUGGUCUAAAAUUUAUGAGUUAGUAAUCAUUUGAAAGAUCUUUGAGUCUAGAUUCCAACAAAACAAGAAUCAACUCAUUUGGAGUUAGGUGGAGAAAAUUAUCAAUAAAAAAACCAGCAAAGGUCAGACUUGGCAGGAUAUAUAAAAUGUUAACUUUAAGGAAUUAAUUCUACCUACUCAGAUUUCAAAAAAUUACAAAUUAGUAGUCAUUGGAAAGAUUUUUUAGUCUAUUUUUUAAUAAAAAAAAGAAUCACAUCAUUUGGAGGUCGGUGAGAAAUGUUAUGAUUAAAAUAGUCAGCAAAGGUCAAAGUUGACAACACGUUAUCUUAUACGUAUAUAUUUCCCUCUUGCUCACAGAUUUAUUAUUUAUUGAAAAUGCCUAUUAAAAUUUGUGCAUUGUAACAACAUUAGAUGACAUAGCAAAGCAUGAGUUGGAAAAAGUGGUCGUGGACUUGAACUACCUUGGUUCAAACACCUAUAGGAGUUUUUUCCUCCACAAAUGAGUGGGGAAACUGUGUUUUGAUACACUUGACACCAUCGAUGAUGAGCAACAUGUGUUUCAUCUAGAAUUGAGCGAGGCAAACUGUGUUUUGAUGCACUUGACACCAUUAAUGACGAGAAACGUGAUUCAUCCAUGCAAAAAAAUGUAAAAAAAAUCACCCAUAGGGACACAAAAAUGACCCUAGGGAGUCAAGUUCUCCCAACUAGGGAGUCACAUGUAACUUUUCAUACAAACCAGCAAGUUGCCUUUGGUAAUCGAUUAUAGGGACCCUGUAAUCAAUUACCAGGGGCUGAUUGCUGGUUUGCACGGAAAUUUACACGUGACUCCCUACCUGGGAGAACAUGAUUCCCUAGGGUCAUUUUUGUGCUCCUGUGGGUGAUUUUUUCCAUUUUUUGCAUGGAUGCCUCAUGCUGCUCAUCAUUGAUUGUGUCAAGUGUAUCAAAACACAAUUUGCUUCACUCAAUUGUGGAGGAAAAAGUCCAUAUAGGCUUUUGAACUAAGGUAGGUGAAGUCCAUGACCAUUUUUUCACAAGUUAUGCCUUGGUAAUAGAUUACAAGGUCCCUGUAAUCAAUUACCAAGGGCUGAUUGUUGUUGGUUUGUACAAAAAGUAAUAUGUGACUUCCCAGUUGGAAGAACUUGACUCUCCAAGCUCAUUUUUUAUGUCCUUUUAGAUGAUUUUGGGUGUGUUUUUAUGUGAUUUUUUCCAUUUUUUAGUUGGAGGACUGAUUUUAUUCAUCAAUACUACGAAAAACCCUUUUUCUCACCAAACAAAGCCCAAACCUUGGAGAAAGGAGACAUAUAUAUUUACUCGUUGAUGGAGAGCGCGAGAAAGUUAGAGAGGCGAAAUGUUACAACGCUAAUGGAGGUCACUUUCGCGGUCCCAAUGGAUGCAAAAACAAGAACAAAUCACGAGAGGGAGGCAACGCAAAAAUGCAAAAACAAAAUGAGACGAUAGAGAUAAAAAAGACAACAACAUAUAAGAGAGAUUUCGGUGGACGUGUCACGGUAGUCGAGAGAACAAAGGACAACCAAAAAAUAACAAUGAGAGAGAGACUUGAGAUAGAGAAAAAAAGAUUUCAAGUUGUUCAAAGGAAGAAGAUGAAUCCCUUUUCGAAAUAAUAUUUCAAAAUCAACGAGUUCCCAAAACACCUUCUGCAUAAUAUUUCAUUUCUAAAAGUAAUAUUUGAAAUGGACCAAUCAACCACCAUAUGAUGUUGUCAAAAAAUUUGGCAAAAUUAAGUUAUUAAAAAAGAAUUUCCUAUGUUUUAUUAAAUUGGGUAUUGUUAUAAUUAACUCAAUAAAUAAAAAUCUUAAUUGUAUCUUAAAUGCAAGAGUAUGUGUACAUAGUGCAGAGUUCAUCAUCUCCCUUCUCAUUGUAAUCUUCGCAAGAGAAAUUUUUUUGUAUUUCAUCCAUUUUUAUGGCAUCAUUACAUAUUUACUCUUAUAUUAUUUAAAUAUUAAUUUAACAAUUUUUAAUAAAAAAUUAUAAAUGAUAUAAAAAACAUUAUAUUACAAAGGUUUAAAAGGGUGUAUAUUUUAUUUUCUUAUAUACAAAAGAUUUUAUAAUUUCAUGAAUAUUGAAAUGAAGUCUUGUAUAAAUAAAUAUCUAAUAAGUAUAGAAAGGGUAUAAUUAUAUUCUUUUUUGAGAAAGUAAAUAUCUUACAAAUUUUAGUGAAUUGAAUAGAUUAUAAAAUGAGCUAAAUUUAAUAAAAAUAAAUUUGAUAGAGAACAAAUAUAUAUAUAUAUAUAUAUAUAUAUAUAUAUAUAUAUAUAUAUAUAUAUAUAUAUAUAUAUAUAUAUAUAUAUAUAUAUUCAUCUCUCAGUUCUCAUCAUACCUUAUUCUCAUCUCAUUCACCUAAUUUUAAAAAAUCUUACUCAUAUUCAUCAUGUUUAAUCAAUGAUGAGAAUUUGGUAUCCCUAAUAAAAAAAGUUUAAAACAUAUAUAUUGUUUAUUAAAAUAAAAUUAUUUAAUUUUACAUUUAUUAGUUUCAUUAUCUUACGUAACCUUUCUUAAACCUCCUAUGAAGAUGAAGUUGAUGUUCCGUUUUUCCUUUCACGUCAUCCUAUACUCGAAUAAGGAUAUUAUCACUAGUACUAAUAGAAAAAUAUCAUAUAACGUCAUUAUCUUUUUACCUUUUACAUCAAAUUUAUAUCUAUCGGUAGACGUUAAAUUGACGUCGAAUUUAAAAAAUUCGACGUUAAUUAAAUUGAUGUUGAAUUUUUUCAAUAUUUGAUGUUAAGCAAUUUUUUUUUAAUUAAUUGUGAUCUUUUUAACAAUUCUAAAAGACUUAAAAAGCAAAAAAAAAAACACAACAAAUUUUAGUUUUUGGUAUUUUAUAAAACAUGAAUUAUGAACGUGUAGUAUGGUAUCAACAACAAACAAUAAACAAGUUCAAUCAAACAACAACAACAAACAACCAACAAGUUCAAUUAAACAACAACAAACAAGUUCAAUCAAAUAACAUCAACAAACAAGUUCAACAAACAAGUUCAACAAAAAAACAACAAACAAGUUGAACAAAUAAGUUCUUCAAAACGAAAACAAAAAUGAUAACUAACCUUUAAAGGUGGGUUCAUCGUGUUUCCACCAAUGAGAGAGAAAGCAAAAUGGGCCUAUGAAAGACAAGAACACGAAAAUAACCGGUCAAAGCAAAUGAAAAUCAUACAUGUGAUGGUCGUCAAAUUUCGUUCGAGAAAAGUUUGAGAAGAGAAGAAGGUCUCAUGCACUAAGAUAAAGUGAAUGAAUUUUCAAUCUCUCGCUCAAAUUAAAAAUGGAAACUUUUGGUUAUAAAUAAUACGUUGAAGCCCUUAUAGAAUUCGAUGUACUAUUGGUGGUUUAAAAUAAAAAAGAAUUAAAGAGGGGUAACUCUUUGGCUUAUGGCUGAAAAAUAAUACGUCGAAGCCCCUACAAAACUCGACGUAUUAUAUGUGGUUUAAAAGGAAAAAGAAAAAAAAGAAUUAAAAAGGAAUUACUUUUUGGCUUGUGGCUGACAAAUAAUACCUCGUAGCCCUACAAAAUUCAAUGUACUAUUGGUAGUUUAAAAGAAAGAAGAAAGACAAUUACGUGCAGCUUUAAAUAAUUACCAUAAUAGAACGUUGAAUUGUAGGGGCUUCGACGUUCUACAAUUGUAUUUAUUUACAAAAAUGUCACCGGUCAUUUUUAAUGUUAGUUAUUCACCGAUCAUUAACAUAUCACCGAAGAGUUGUGUUUCAACAUAUUCUUCAUCUUUCACUUCAUUAUCCAUCACCAUGUCUAUGAUUAUCACCUUUCCUUCUUUCCCUUUCUUAGAUAUAGCUGAUAAUAGUAUAUCGCACGGUCCUAUAUUGACUUUCUACACCGUCCGCUCGGUUGUGUUGUGAAGAUAACAAUAUACCACUUGGUUCAUUGACCUGCUCGUCACCUGUUUUUUUUUUUUUGUUUUUCUGUUAUUAUCUUUCCCUAUAUAUUUUCCUCUUUUCUGUACUUCUUUUGCAUCAAUCAAUAUCCUUUUUCCUCUUUCUCUAGCUUCUCUCCUCUCUUUCUUCUUUCCCUUUAAGCCUUCUUUUCUUUAUACGUUGUAAAUCUAUGAUGGUAUCAGAAGAAAUUUCUGCUGCUCUCUGAUUUCUGCACUCCUGUUCUUGUUUCUUUUUUCCCCUACAAUGGCUACCACUGAAACCAAUACCCAAACCCAAGAUUUUACCCAUUCAUACCUUUAUCUUCACCCCAAUGAAAACCCUUACAUAUCCCUUGUCUCACCCGUUCUCAACACCACAAACUAUCAUUCGUGGAGCAGAUCCUUCGUUACGACUCUUUCUUCAAAGAAUAAGGUGGAGUUCGUUCUUGGAUCCGCAAUUCAACCCGCAAAGAUUGAUGCUACCUUUCCCGCUUGGUUCCGCUGCAAUAGCAUGGUGGUUUCAUGGCUCUUGCAUUCUUUCUCCCCCUCCAUCUGUGAAAGCAUCAUUUGGAUGGACAAUGCCAUCGACAUGUGGAAUGACCUGAAGAACCGCUUUGCCCAAGGUGACCUUGCGAGAAUUUCCACAUUACAAAUGGAAGCUACCACCUUGUCCCAAGGUGAGCUCUCUGUCACCGAAUUCUUUACCAAAAUCAGAAUCAUUUGGGAUGAACUUGAUAGUUUCUACCCAGACCCCAUUUGUAUAUGUAAGUCAAAAUGUUCUUGCACUGUUUCUUUGAUUCUUUCUCAACGGAAACAUGAAGAUCGUGCAAUGCAACUUCUCGGAGGUUUGAAUACUCACUAUACCGAUAUACAAUCCCAUAUUCUUCUUCUUGACCCUCUUCCUCCAAUUUCCAAAAUUUUUUCUCUUGUUAUCCAACAAGAACGUCAAUUCAUGACGGAUCGUAUUACUGCUACUAUGAAAACUACUUCAUUUUCUAAUUUCCCUUCUCAACUGAAUGGUUCUACUACUAUUACUUGCACCUACUGCAAUCGGGUUGGUCAUCAAGAAAACACCUGCUUCAAAAAACAUGGUUUUCCCAGCCAAGAUCACCGAAAUGCCAAAACCACAAACAACAACAAUAGAAAGAUCUGCACAUAUUGUCAUAAAACUGGGCAUACCAUAGAUGUGUGUUUCAAGAAACAUGGAUAUCCUCCUGGCCAUAAACUUUCCGACAACAAACUCGGCCAGAUUCAUAAUAUUGUUUCAUCCACUCAUGGUGACAGUCAACCGAACGACUUGGAUCAAGAUCAUUCUUCUACCGCGACCAUUCAAAUAACACCCCAACAAUAUCGGAUUCUUGCCGACCUGUUCAAAAAAUCUGAGUCUAAUGCUCCCAAUGUGCAUAUUAAUAGGGACACUAUCCACAAACACUUCUCCAGGUAAUAUUGUUUCUGCUCUUCAAGUUCAUUCGGGUAAUACAUGGCUUCUUGAUUCUGGUGCCACCGAUCAUGUUUGCAUUUCUUUAAAACUCUUCUCUUUUUAUCAAAAGAUUACACCUAUUUCCAUAACAUUACCAACUGGAAAAAUUAUCCACGCUCAUUACAAGGGAACUGUUCUGUUCCACUCUAAAUUUUAUCUUUAUAAUGUGCUAUAUAUUCCUGACUUCAUUAUGCAGGACACCCAAAGUCAAGAAAAGAUUGGUUUGAUUAGAAUUAGAAUGGAUUAUAUCUUUUUGACUCAUCUGUUUGUAAAAUUAAUACUAGUUGUAGUCCUUUAAUAUGCUCUUUUCAUACUCCAAAUCUGUGGCAUGCUCGUUUUGGACACCUUUCAAAUGAUAGGUUACAUCUUUUGCAAAACAAACAUGCUUAUAUAACAAAUGACACUCAAAUUCUUUGUGAUACGUGCCAUCGUGCUAAACAAAAGAAAUUUCCUUACACUACUACCACAUCUCAUUCAUUGUGUUCCUUUGAUUUACUGCAUAUUGACAUAUGGGGUCCUAGCACUGCUUCUAUGAAUGGUUUUAAAUACCUAUUAACUAUCAUUGAUGAUUUUUCCCGUUACACUUGGAUUUACCUAUGUUAGAUAAAUCUUCUGUUAAAAAUCACAUUCUUACAUUCCUCUACUAUAUACUCAGUUCAAUAAAAAAAGUAAAAACAAUACGAACUGACAAUGGCAUUGAGUUCAAUAUGCAUGAUCUUUUCUCAAAUAAGGGCAUUAAUCAUCAAACUACUUGCGUUGAAACUCCUGAACAGAAUGGUGUGGUCGAACGUAAACACCAACACAUCUUAAAUAUCACACAUGCCUUACUUUUUCAUUCACAUUUACCAACUAUCUUCUGGUGUUAUGCAGCUCAACAUGCUAUCUUUUUGAUCAAUCAGAUGCCCACACCUGUUUUAUAGAAUGAUACGCCACAUGACCAUCUUCAUGGAUCUUCUUGUGACCUUUCCAUGUUGUGUGUUUUUGGUUGUCUCUGCUACGCCAACACCAUUACUGCUCACAUAAAGAAGUUUGAUGAUCGUGCUAUCUCUGGCAUUUUCUUAGGUUUCAAACGGCACACAAAAGGUUAUCUUUUUUUCAAUCUCAAAAAGCAUAAGGUUGAUGUUUCCCGUAAUGUUGUUUUCCAUGAAAAUGUUUUUCCAUAUCAAAAUAUUAAAAAAAACGACAACUUUUUAUCUCUCCCUUUGCCCACUAAUUACACCCAUAACUAUGAUCAUCUCCUACCGUUUGGACAUACUUUUGCUGAUAUACCGUUCGGUCAUUCUGCUGCUAAUAUACCGUUUGGACAUCAUGUUGCUGAUAUACCACUCGGUUCUCACAGCACAUCUACAGAUAUCACUCAAAUCGAUGAUACUGGUAAUGAUACUUCUGAUAGUGUAAGACGUUCUUCUAGACCAUGUAAGCUUCUUGCUUACUUAAAGGAUUUUAAAACUAAUAGCAUUGUUCGUUAUCCCAUCCAGAAUUACCUUUGUUAUGAUCAUCUCUCUAGUCAUUUCAAGCAUACAAUUUUAUCUAUCUCCUUUAAUAUUGAACCAACCUCUUAUUUUGUUGCUUCUAAAAAUCCCCAAUGGGUUACUUCUAUGCAUGUUGAACUUGAUGCCCUACAGGCUAACAAUACUUGGGUCCUAACGACUUUACACCCUAAUAAAACUGCUAUUGGUUGUCAUUGGGUUUGUAAAAUUAAAUACAACUCUGAUGGCUCGGUCGACCGAUAUAAAGCACAUCUGGUCGCCAAAGGAUAUAACCAAAUAAAAGGGUUGGAUUACUUAGAUACCUUUACUCCUGUUGUCAAGCUCACUACCGUUCGACUCCUUCUUGCCAUAGCCGCCACACAGAGUUGCUCACUCAAACAGUUGGAUGUUAACAACGCUUUCCUCCAUGGUGAUAUUCAUUAAGAUGUCUAUAUGAAAGUUCCUCCUAGCCUUACCACUUCCACCCCGAAUCAGGUUUACAAACUGCAAAGGUCUUUAUAUGGUCUUGUUAAAUAUAGUGAAAAUUAUAUAUUGGAAUUAAUCCCUUGUGUUAAAUACACACAUAGGGUUCUCUAUUUAUAAUAGAAGAAAUAUGGGCUAAGCCCAAAUACAAAUGAAUAUGUAAGAAAAAAAAUAAAAUAAGAACAAUGUUUCCCUAAUAAACAUAUAGGGACUAUAUUUCCUUAAUUAACAUAAACAUGAUAUAAACUAAUUAUAAUAUCUCUAACACUCCCCCUCAAGCUGGAGCAUACAGAUUGUAUGGACCAAGCUUGGAAUAAAUAAACUCAAUUUGAAAUAUAUGAUCUGUCUUCAAGAGUGUGCGGCAAACAGAUGCGCAAUCACAUGUCAACGAACAACUAACAACAAUUUAUGGACAGUAGUGGACAAUUGCGAAAUUUCAAAUAGCACCAUGAAACUUCAAGUGGGAUGACUUUGAAAAAAGGAGAACAAUGACAAACUUUAGGGACUAGAUUGCCAUCAAGUAAGGAUAGGGCUUGCAUCAAAACUACAAGGAUUGCCAUCACUGAUUGAUGGGGCCUGUAGUGGCUAAAAGCGACAAAACUACAAGGACUGCCAUCACUGACUGAUGGGGCCUGUAUACAGAGACUGCCAUCACUGACAGAUGGGGCCUGUAUACAGGGACUGUCAUCAUGAUGGGGCCUGUACUGGUUAGAAACGAUAAAACUGCAAGGACUGCCAUCAUUGACUAGUGGAGUCUGAAAGCCUAAAACCUGGCUGGAAACAUACUCCCCCUCACGAUGAACGGCGGAAAUGACGGCCGGAGAUGGGGGUCGGAGACGGUGCCGGGGACGGUGGCCGGAGACGACGACCGGAGACGGUGGUCGGAGACGGUUGCCGGAGAAGGUGGUCGGCGGCGGCGGACUGCCGGUGACGGUGGCCGGCGGCAGCGGACGACCGGUGACGGUGGCCGUAGACAGUGGACAAGCUGCAGGUGGCGGCUGGUGGCGAACGACAACGGGCAGUGGCGGACAGCAACACCGGACAAAUACGAGACAGAAACUAGAGAUUGCCCAUUGAAAUAUAAAGGCACAGGUUGAAAAAGAAACUUUUAGGGAGGGGCCGCCGCCACCGGCGGCCACUGGCGGCAACAAAGACGAAGUAGAAAGGGAUCAGAAAACCUGCUUUGAUACCAUGUUAAAUAUAGUGAAAAUUAUAUAUUGGAAUUAAUCCCUUGUGUUAAAUACACACAUAGGGUUCUCUAUUUAUAAUAGAAGAAAUAUGGACUAAGCCUAAAUACAAAUGAAUAUGUAAGAAUAAAAUAAAAUAAAAUAAGAUCAAUGUUUCCCUAAUAAACAUAUAGGGACUAUAUUUCCCUAAUUAACAUAAACACAAUAUAAACUAACUAUAAUAUCUCUAACAGGUCUUAAAAAAGCUGACCGACAAUGGUAUGCUAAGUUACAUACUUUCUUAUUGUCACAUAAUUAUACUUGUUCCACUUCUGAAAAUUCUCUUUUACCUUAACAUGAUGGAAAUUACAUUACGACACUUCCCAUUUAUGUUGAUGACAUACUCAUAACUGGCAACAAUGAUGGAGAAAUUCAACGCAUCACCGGCCUUCUCCAUUCGAAUUUUCGCAUAAAGAAUCUUGGUGAUCUAACUUACUUUCUCGGCAUUGAAGUCGCUCGCAUCUCCAAAAUCCACCUUGCCAACAAAAGUAUGUCUUAGAUCUUCUUGCUGAAACCGGCUUGCUUGACAGCUCCCCUGUUCCUACCCCCAUGGUUCCUAAACAAUCUACUACUAAUAUCGUUCUGUCUUUAAAUGAUGAUGUUGUUGCCUCCUAACGUCGUCUCAUUGGGAAACUAAUCUACCUUACCACCACCCAUCCAGACAUUACCUUUGUCGUCAAUCACCUCAGUCAGUUCAUGUCUGCUCCUACAACUGCCCAUCAACAAGCCACUAAUCGUAUCCUACGAUACCUCAAAGGUACCCCUAGUGUUGGUAUUCAUUUUCCAUGCAACUCUAUUAUUCAAUUAAAAGAUUUUUGUGACUCUGAUUGGGCCACAUGCCCUGAUACUUGUCGUUCGGUCACUGGAUUCACUGUCUACCUUGGCAACUCUCUCAUUUCAUGGCGCUCCAAGAAACAAUCGACUGUCUUCCGUAGUUCUUCUGAGGUUGAAUAUCGUUCGCUAGCCAGCAUUGUGUGUGAACUAUAGUGGCUCAAGUAUCUGCUUCAUGAUCUCCACGUUGCUUACACGUCUCCCGCCCUCAUCUACUGUGACAAUCAAUCUGCCAUACAAAUUGCCUCUAAUCAAGUUUUUCAUGAACGUACAAAGCACAUUGACAUUGAAUGCCACAUUGUUCGUGAAAAGGUUGCAGCUAGGCUGAUCAAUCUUCUUCCCAUCUCCACAACACUGCAAAUAGCCAACAUAUUAACAAAAUCGUUACCUCCUCCUUCCUUUCAACUUCUUCGUUCCAAGCUGGGUCUCCAAAAUAUUUACACCCAGCUUGAGGGGGGCUGAUAACAGUAUACCACACGGUCUUAUAUUGACUUUCUACACCGUCCGCUCUAUUAUGUUGUGAAUAACAAUAUACUGCUCGGUUCGUUGACUUGCUCGGUCCAUUGACCUACUCGUCACCUGCUUUUUCUGUUUUUUUUGUUAUUAAUUUUUCCUAUAUAUUUUCCUCCUUUCUGUACUUCUUUUGCAUCAAUCAAUAUCCUUUUUCCUCUUUCUCUGGCUUCUCUUCUCUCUUUCUUCUUUUCCUUUAAGCCUUCUUUUCUUUACUGCGUUGUAAAUCUAUGAAUAGCUUCCUUGCAUUUCUUCAAUAUGCUCACACACUCCUCAUUGUUCCAGUCAUGUAGUCAUGUAAUAUCCACUGUUUUCUCAUCCAAAAAGUAGAAGGAAUUCAGCUGAUUAGAAUAAGCAUCUCAGGUAAUAUAAUUAAUAUAGUAGGGCCACUUAUUAUAAGUCAGAUGACCAAGUUGAAUCUGCACACCUAACAUUAACUUAAUUAGUUCUAUUUAUUAACCAUGUUUGUACAAAUCUACAUCCAAAUAAAGAAAGCAAAAAUAUGUUACUAUAAUAAGUAAUUUGAGGAGACAAGAGAAUAAAAAUGAGGAGCAAUAUUACUAUAUAUAAUUUGCUAUAUUUUUCGAUGCUCAUAUUUGAUUCUGAAACAAUUGCUCUUCGAUAUUGCAUUUGCAGAAGUAGUUAGAAUACACUAAUGCUACCUUAGUUACCGAUAAUCAUUAUAUAUGUUUAUUAUUUCAUUUGAUCAACAAUGGUGAUAUUGUUCUUUCUUUUCCAAUUAAUCAAUUAGUUGGUUCAAUUCUCUCAAGUUUAAUUAACAUCAGUCAAGUAUACAAAGAGGUUUAAAGUGUUAAAGUAUAACUAUCGACCCUACUACCGAAACAUAUGUAAAUCGACAUUGUAGUACAUUUAUUACGUGUUUUUAUUUUUUCAUGUAAAAAUAAAUUUAAAAUAUUUAUUUAAAUUUAAAAUAUUUUCAAUUAUGAUUUAUUUUACUUUCAUGAACUAUUCUUAGAUUUUCCAUUUAGAUAAAUGAAAAUUAUAAACUCACUUAAAAUGAUUUUUUAUACAAUAAUUAAAAAUAUAAAAAAAUCAUAAAACUUAGUAAAACAACUUCAAAAGAAAAUAUUUUUACGUUUUUUAUAAAAAUAUUUGUUUUAUUUCCUUGUCUAAACAUAUAAAAGGAAAACUUACAUAUUUAUGAUUUUUUUGGAUUUAAACUCAAAUGAAAACAAAUAAUUGUAUAAGAACUGCAUAAAUAUACUUUAUACGUGCGAAUGAAGUAACUAUUUAUAAGUGUGAGUUUUAAUUUAAAAAAAAUAAUUUAAAAACAUAAAGUUGAGCUAAACGUGAAAAUGAAAGUGGAAAAGUACGGCAAAAGGAUAAAUGAUAAAAAAAAAAAGAUACCAAAUAUAAAUAAUUAACCUAACAAUUUAAAGGGGGAUAUACAUUACCUGAAAAACAUGUAUGAUUGAUAAAAUCAAAUCUGCAAAUAUAUACAAAGAUAAACACAAAACUUUCAUUAAUAGUUGGUUAUUAUUCAUUUCACUUAUCCAUUUCUUGAUAUAUUAUUUGUUAGAAUUCCUUAUUUUACUAAUUGUACUUAUUUCAAAAUCAAUAAAUGUAUCGUAAUUAUUAAUAGUUGGUUAUAUUAUUUAUUAAAGUAUUGUGUUUUGUUUUACUUCUUUUAUUAGUAAUAAAGAUAAUAAAAGUGUCUCAAUCCAUGUUAAAAAAAGGAAAGAAAAAAUAUGUCUCAUAAUGCGAUUUUCUAUAUCAAGCAAGAAACUCAUUCAAGCAAAUACUAAUUCAAGAAAUAUAUGUCACUUUACUGACCUAUCAUACAUUCUACUCUUUUGAAAAUAGUCAGAAGUUAAAUUUCUUUGUUGAAAUUUCAAUUUAUGAAAGGUCUAGGAGAGACUAUCAUUAUAUAUGAUUUUCAAUACACCAUUAUUGUACGACUUGAUAAGGCUUUAAAGAAGUGGAAAAUGAACCUCUUUUGUGAGGACAAUAACAAUUUUCAUUAAACAUAGAAUAUAGUUCUAUUUUGCAAGUAACAUAUAUCUUGCACUUCACAACUUUGAUGUUGUAAGGAAACUUUAAUUUAAUUUUGUACGAUACGCUAUUUGGGCCGAACGGUUGCGAUUAGUAACCGCACGGUCCAACAUGCUUAUUGGGCCUCAAUCAUAUUAAUAAUAGGCCAUUAUCGCUUCAGUUAUUGGGCUAAUGGUCCAUCACAACGAUAUAAUCCGUUGAGAAUAAUAUCUUAACAAUCUAUAUCAGAAAAGAUUAAAUAAGAUAUGAACAGCCAGGUAUUCAGGUAGAACCGUUUAUAUUAUAUUCUGUUUAUAUUUGAUAAUAACCUAUAUAUACAGGGCUGGAAUCGUAUACCAGGUACGCUUUCUCAUACACAACUUUGCCUUACAAUAUUGUUAAGUGAUUUCACUCUGCAUUCUCAUAUUGAGAACCUUUAGCCUUGCUUUCGAGGCUCAUCAUCACUCACCCUGACUUGGGCGUCGGAGUGCCAUUGCAGGUACCUCCCCCCCGGUCGUAGCUUGGAGCUUCCGGACGGUUGAAGAUCAGAAGACAGCGGGAGCGCCACGUCAUCCAGGUUAGUCCCUUCGAUCCCCAAAAUAUUCAUACCGAAACAAAUUUCAUUACCUAAUUCAAUGUAAAUGGUUUAAAUGACGUUAGAUAUAUAUAAAUUAAGCAAUUUAUUCCUUACAAUGUGUCCAUUUAUUUUCUUUUCCUCAAUAUAAUGCUUUUUUAGAUAGAUUUACUAAAACAUUAUUUUUCAAGUAAACCGUUCAGAUUUUUUUUUAAAAGGAAAAAAAUAAAAUUAAAUUAUGGCAAAGUAAUUUGAAAUAAUUAACUAAAAGUAUUGAGUUUGAAGUUUAAUUGUUUUUAUAGAAGAAAUAAAAUAAAAGAUAAUUUAUAAUAUUUUAAUAUAAUUUCUAAUUAAAUUUUUUAUUAUUGAUAUUUGAAAAAAUAAAUUAUACUAGAAAAUAUUCAUGAUAAUUAAUAUUAUUAUAUUAACAAAAAUGACAGUAAUCACUACAAAAAUAGUUAAUUAUAGUAGAGGUUUAUUAACUGCGGUUUUAAUAACCUCAAGAUAAUUUUUAUAAUUUUUUUCAAAAUUGCAUAUAUUUCAACGGUUUUUAAUAGAACGGCAGUAAACAUUUUCCUUUUUUUUUGUUAAAUUAUAUUUCCGGCGGUUUUAUUCUAAAACCGUCCAUAAUUGUUAAAAAAGUUUAACACAUGUGCCUUCACAUUUUACCAGACUUUCCUCUAUUUCUUCUUCCUCAUUUCCCAUUUCCCUCUUCACUCUACCUUUAUAAUUAAUUAUUUCCUUCUACACCAGUUGUCUAGAUACUAUCUUGCUUUCCAUUUUGCGUUCACCAUUCAUGAUUGUCUUCUUCACUCUUUCGUCAUUGGCCCUUCACAAUCCUUAAUGUUUUCCCUUUCGUAUGAAAUUUGUUUCCCAUGCUCCUGUUCUCUUUGGAAAACCCUAAAAAUUUGAAGAGACUAAAGGUUUGGCAAUAAUGCUGCAAGAAACUUAUAGCGACACUCGUAACGGAGCUGGUGUAAUACUUUACACUUAAACACUCUGGGGCACUGCACUUCUCAGUCCCGAGCUCUGAUACCAUAAAUGUGACAUCCCAAAAUAUAUAGCAAUGUAUAUAUGUAGAAUGCAUUGAAUCAUGAUAAAGAAAGCAGUUAAGAGUAUACAAUAGAUAGGAUUAAGGAGUACAGUUAUCCAAAUCUGGCUGGGAAUUUUAAAACUUAAGGACAAGUUCAUAAUUCUCCAAAAUACAUGACUGAAUAAAGGUUUAAGGGGACCUAAAGAGUGUUUCCAAAAUACGGAUCAUGAUAAUAUGAAAGCUAGAAGUCUUUCAAAAUAAAGAGCUAUUUAAAUUAAAAGGUAGUAUAAAUCCUAAGCACUAGGGAAUGGGUCUUCCUCCACUUCCAAAGCUUUCUCUAAAGGUACAUCAUCACCUACUGCUCACAUCCAAAGGAUUGGAUGAUCAUCGCAAGGGGGAAGACAAACACAUACAAACAUACAAGUGCAAGGGUGAGCUAGGUCUCAAACAAUCAUAAAUUCAUUUCCAAUCAAUCUAGCAUUUCAAGAAUAUCCAUACACACAUAAACACAUUAGUCAUCACAAACAUAAGCAUUUAUUUCAUAAAACUCAUCAAAACAAGCAUCCUAUCAUGUUAAGACUUCUAGACACGUCCGGACUUGGAAUGUAUGUAGAGCUGGGGCGAGUUGUCCACUUGUGGUGGCCUCUACUGCUUUGCAAAGCCAUUGCUGAGGGGUUUUACCCGACCACACACAAGGCUAGUCCGUUACCGCGGAAUAGACCUCCAAUGAUAGCGCCUACCCUAGGACCUCCCACUACUCUCACCACCCGCGUCAAUCCUCUCUAAGUGAGAAUGAAAGACCGUUAGAGUGUUAGGGAUAACCCCCCAUAUGGAAGCCUCUUACAUUUAUUCAAUACACUAAAUGAUCUCACCUAGAGAUCUUACUUUCAUAUUCAAUCUGACCACUUUAGUUCACAAGAUAUACCUCUUGAAUCAAUAAUUCCUCUCAAAGUUUCACACCAAUUAAGACUUUUAAUCAUUUCAUGAUUCUUUUGAACCAAAAUCAAACCACACAUUUGAUCUUUAAAGAUCAAGUCAAAUAUAUCAGAACAUGCUUCACAACCCAAGCAAUUCAAUCAUUGAUUUAGAGAUGUUAAUUUAUAACCCAACAACAUAACUCAACACAUGUUCCUCUUGCAUAAAAAUUUCCAGUUUAUUAUCAUCCCAACUAUAAAACCCAAUAAAGUUGCAAAACAUCAAUGUUUUGGUACAGAAACAACAGCAAAAACAACCUAAUACAACAAAGAUGUUAAUGUAGUAACAACAAUCAAAACAAUUCAAUAUAACACUGAUUUUAGUCAUAAUAGCAAAUAAUUUUCUGCAGCCUUUUAAUCAAAACAACAAAUAAUUUUCUACAACAUUUCAGUCAAAACAGCAAAUAAUUUUGUGAGAACCCAAAAAAUAUCUAUAUAUAUUUUUAAAACAUAAAUAGAACUUUAGAACAAUUCCUAACUCAGUUUUUCAGAAAAAACACUUUCUCUCUCUAAAGACCAAAAUCCUCUUCUUUGUGCUUUGUCUUCUCUCUUAAAUCCUCCUUCACUAAAUCAUCUUCUCAACAAUCAGAACCCACAUAAGGAUUCCUGGCGUUGAGAGCUCGAAAUCUCACCGAUCAAUUUGGCAUUCCUCUAACUAGUAAGUGUUUUCCCCUUUUAUGUGUAAUUUAGGGCUAUGACCAUGUAAUGAGUUUGUUGCAUGUAGCCCAUUGUGUCUCUUUUCCAAUUCUAGCUUCAAUUACACUCUUAAAUUUGAAUCUUAUCACCAAAUGGUGAUUUAUAGGUGGUCUAGCACUUCCGGAAGUGAAAAGGGGCGUGCUUGAGGGUUUUCUUGAGCUAAAAAGAGGAAUUUUGUUACUGCAGUUUAGAGGUAAGGGAAGCUUAGGAUUUCUUUAUUUUCUGUUUUGGGAAUUUAGGUCGCAGGAAUUUGGGGGUUUUGUUUGGAAUUCUGAAAUUUGAAAUUUUUAUGUUGAACCAAAGGUUCAUGUAUGUCAAAUUGUAAAAUUGAUGCUUAUAAAUUGGUAUGAAUCAUGUGUGAUGCUAUGAAUUGAAUGUAGAUGUGUUAAAUUGCUUGGAUUGGACAUGUUGGAAGUGGUUGAAGUGGAAAAUUCUGUUAUAUUGUUAAUAUGAUAGAAAACCAAGUGUUUAGGUAAGGUUCUAGGUUCCUUGAGAGGAAGUGAGGUAGUGAAUUUGAGAAAUUGGGGUCAAGGGCACUUGUAGUAUGUUGGGAUAGUCUAGGCAUGUUAUUUUUGACUUGUUAGUGUCAUCAAACUGGUCAAAAGCAUGUGCAAAGUGGUAAAUCAGAAUUCAAGUCACUAAGUUCAUGAAAUAGUUGAAUUGGAACUCAAAUCUAUGCAUAAUCUUUAGAAUUAGUGUUAGGAAACCUGUGUUAAACCUCAAACAAGUCCAAAAUUAUCCCUACUUCGUGUUAGGAAGUUUAGAAUUUCACCAAAGGACCUAAAACAGAUUUUGAGGGUGUGAGUUCCUCAAAAUUCUGCAGAAAAUCUGCACAAUUCCACGACCCGUGUACUAAUCCACAACCCGCCUGUGGACUUCUCUGUUUCAAAUCUGUUCCUUUCUUGAUAAUUCCACAAGUUGUGGAAAUGUCCACAGCUAAGUCGUGGACCUCUCUGGUUUCAAGGUUUAGAUCAUAUUAGUUACUUUCAUUGCUUAGGUUUUAAUUGAAUUGUGAUGCAUUGUUGUAUUGUUUAUUGUACUUUGAUGUAUGAUUCAUGUAUGAUUUGUUAGUUGUGUUGUAUAAUUCCUUUUAGUAUGGUAUGACUUAACUAAGUAAGAUGUGUAUGAAAUUGAAUCAACCUAACAUCAAAAUGUCUAACAAUUAAGAAAUCAAAGUAAGUGAAGUUGGUAUUGUUUGAAAGGUGAAUCAAAGAGUUAAGUAUCAAGAUCUCUAGGUGAGAUCGUUGUUAAUGUUGAGAAUAAAUAUAGGAAGCUCAAUCUUGGGUGUCUCCAUUUUAUAUGGGCCAAGAAUGAGUGAUUCAAGUUAAGUUCUGGAAUGAAUAUAGGUAGCUCAGUCUUGGGGGUUGCCCUUAAAGCUCUAAUGACUAUUCAAUCUCAUUUAGAGAAGAGUAGUUCAUGUGGUGAAGAGCAGUAGGGGUCCUAGUCUUGGUUGUCUCCAUUGUAUAUGGGCCAAGGUGAGUGAUAACGGAUAACCUUGUGUGUGUGGUAGGGUGAAACCCAUUGGCAAUGGCUUUGCAAAGCAGUAGAGGCCACCACAAGUGCAUGACCCGCCAUAGCUCGAUAUUCAUUCCGGGUCCGGACGAGUCUAAGUCUAACAUCACUUAAUGAAACUAAAACUUAUAACCUAAUAACCUUAUUCGAUUACGAUUAUCUCACUUGUAUGUCUAAUCUUUCCUAGUUGGUUUUUAAUUGACUUGUAUUUUCUUUUGAAUUCUAGCUUACCCUUGCUUGUUUGCUGUUUGUUUUGUUUGUGCUUGUUUCCUUUUUGCAAUGAUCAUCCUAAUUGGAUGUGAGCAGAGAUUUCAGAAGCCUCAUUGGAGCAACUUCUUGAUGUACCAGAUAUCUCAGACACUACUGAUGCUGUAGAGUAGUGUAACUCAGUUAUCAUCUAUUGUACAUAACUUAGUUUUAGUUUCUUUUGCUUCUUUUGAAAGACUCUAUGCCAUAUGUAGAGCUUACAUCAUAUUUUGGAUGACUGUAUUAUAUACACUUCAUCUGAUAAUUCUCUUGACUGCUUUCUAUUAUUAUAAUAUGUUGCAUUCCACUUGAUAUGAAUUAUACACAUAUUUUGGGGAUGUUACAAAUUUUCUGCAACAUUUUAAUCAAAACAGCAAACCAUUUUCUGCUGCAUUUUAGUCAAAACAGCAAAUAAUUUUCUGCAGCAUUUUAGUCAAAACAACAAAUAAUUUUCUUUUAGAUCAAUAUCAUACGUAACUACUAACCUUAUACAUAAUUAUAUUAAUAUAAUAAAAAAAAAACAUACACUGCUACUAAUUAUAUAUAUAUAUAUAUAUAUAUAUAUAUAUAUAUAUAUAACUAUAUUACUAUACGUAAUCUUUAUAAUCUCUAUUACAAAUUAUAUUAAUACAAUUAUACCCCCUCUGCAACUUUUAUAUAUUGCUAUAUUAAAUUAAUAUCACAUACCAUAAACCAAAACUCCUUCCUACAAUUCUCUGUCACGAGUCCACAUAUCUAAAAAUUAUAAAACAAAUAAUUCCUCUUUCUUCUAUUCAUCAUACACUUUCUCUGCAACCAUUUGUUCCAAAUUAAUUUUCUUACUUUUAAAACUCCUAACUUGAACCUUCCCGCUUGUUCCCCACUGCCCCCCUUCUCUUCUACCACAAUCUUAUCAUUUGCUAAACCAAAGAAUUAUCCCAUAACCUAAACUCCUAAACAAAACAUUAAUCCAUCCCUAUUUGCGUCCACUGAUAAACAUAACACCCAUUACUCUACCUAAAGGCUACACAUAAAACUAUAGCUCUGCACCCGAUUUGAUAGCAUUAAAUAAAAAUAAAACUCUUGUUCUAGCAUUCAAAUCCAUUCCAAACAGAUUAUAAUCAACACACUACCAAUUCACAGAUUCAUCCUAUUCAAUUCAUAUAAAACCAGAUACACACAAUAAUCAAUUGCAGUCCAAACAGUAUAUAAUUUUUGAAAUUAACAUGCAUACUUAUACUAAAACAAUUCAACCCAAAAAUAUAAUAGCUCCCCUUACCUUCAAUUGGUAGCACAGAAGGAAUUUGCCCCCUUUUUCUUAAUCCUCAAUUAAAAACAAGAGUCACCUAUAGAUAGACAAAUUGUAGAUAGAAAAGGGUUUUUAGGAUCUAAUAGAAACUAGAAAUUUUUGGAAAAAGAACACGAUGAAUCACAUGCAGCAAAACUGUUGCAUGCCCCAUAGCCCUAAAUUGCAUGGAAGAGUGAAAAACAACUUACCCGAGGAGGAACCUAGAAAUUGAUCUGUGCAACUCGAAACCUUUGACGUCAAGAUUACCUAGGCGCUUACAGAAUGGAGAUUCAAUGGCUCAAUUGAAGAGGAAUCUAGAGAGAAGAAUAGGGGUUUGGAGAAAGCAAGGUUAGAGAGAGAGAGUUGUGUGGUGAAGAGGAAAUAACACGCUUAUGAAACUGUCUCAAGAAGCUACUAAACAUUUUAAUUUUCUAAAACUUAAUUUAUUUUUAUUUUAAUAUUCUUAAAUGUUUUAAAUUUUAAAUUAUGGGAUAUUACAUUCUCUCCAACAACAAGAAUUUUCGUCCCCGAAAAUUAAACUUACCAGAGAGAAGGAACAACCUACUCUCAUCACAAUUAAUUCUCCCCCUAAACCCUAAACUAUUAGUCUCACAGAUAAAGCUGGGCAAAAUUAAUUUAUUUGUACUAUAUUGUAAUUAAUUGUACUAUGUUAUACUAAAACAAGUGAUCCAUUUUUACUAAAAGUUCAGUAUUCUAUUUUAUGGUUCAGUUUUUAAAAAUUGAACUUAUAAUAGUUUCGGUUCAGUUAAAUGUGAGAAGUGUAUCUACUUUUUCCUCUUCUCUAGUUUCGUUCAACUACUUCGUCUUACCACAAAAACGUUAUUUAAUAAUAAAAUAUUAAUAAAAGAAACCGUUUACAUAAGAAAUUAAUAACUAAUAUUUUAAGACAAAACUUUUUUAUCACAAAUUUUUAAAUUUUUAUCAAUAAACACAUAUUACUUUUUAAAUAAUAUUACUUUAAUUAAUAAAAGUAAAAUAUACUAUUUUACAAUUUAGUUUUAUUAAAUGAUUAAGUAAUUGAAAUAAUAAAAGAAUAAAAGACUAUAUAAAAAAAAUAAUACUUUAAAUAUAUUAUAUUCUUUAACAUUAUUAAAUAUGUAAAAAUAUGUUAGAAAAAAGUUUUGUAAGCACACACUAAAAUAACUAUUUAUUUUAAAAAUCAACUUACUUUAAAAUAAAUAUCAAUAUUAUUAUCUUUAAAUGAUAGUAUUUUACAAACUAAAACUAAAAUAUAUUUUUUAACAUUAAAUUUUAUUAAAUUACUAUAUAAUGAAAUAUCAUAAAAAAAUAAUAAUAUAGCAAAAAUAAUUAAUAUUAUAGAAAUGUCAAAUGACAAAAAAAUUAAGAAACAUUUAUUGAGAGUAACUUUUCUAGUAUAAUUUUUUAUUAUAUUAUAAUAAUUAAUAAAUAUUAGUUUAAAUUUUACAUAAUAAAAUAUAAAUAUUAAAUAAUUGAUUAAUAAAAUAACUUUAUGAGGCAAAAAAAUAAAUAAAUAAAAAAUUAUUUUAAAAUAAAAUAAGGAGAUAAAAAGAUAAAAUAAAUUAUAUACACAUAUAAAACAAAAAAAAAAAUAUAAAUAAAAAAUUAAAAAAUAAAUAUAAAAGUAAAAUAAUAUUCAUGAAAAAAUAAAUAUAAAUAAAAAAAUAAAAAAUAAAAUGAAAUAAAUAAAUAAAUAAAAAAUAAAAUAAUUUCCAUACACAUAUAGUAAUAAAAAAAAUAUAAAUAAAAUAGAAAAUAAUAAUAUCAAAUAAUUAAAAAAUUAAUUUGUAAAACGCUUAUGAAUAAAAUAAAAUAAAUAUUAAAAUAAAUUUCAAUUAAAAAGGACAUGUAUUGUUAUACUAUUCAGUUUAAAAACUAGUACAAUUCAGUUUAAAAUUAGUAUAGUUAGUAGUUCAAUUCAGUUUAUAUCGUAGUAUAGUAUAGUUUAGUCUAGUUCAAUUCAGUCCAGUUUGAUAAAAAAAAAAGUUCAAUUCAGUUUAGACAAAUUAGUUUUUAGUUUAGUACAUAUUUUAGUAGUACAGUGCAAUUCAGUUCUAUUUGUCCACCCCUACUCACAGAUAUGCUUCGAGAACAACCACCCUUGGAUGUAGAAGUUCAUGCACCACCCCCUCUCCUCGCAGCUCCUCUUUCCCCUUUAAAUACUAUCUUUUCUCGCUUCCAACGCCAUACCUCACCGCCACUCUCACACCUCUUUUGCUCUCUUCCUCCCUCUCCUAUCGCAACUCGCGUUCAAGCGUUCCUCCCUACACCUCACUUGCCUUAUCCUUUACCUCCCAAUUGACAACUUUGUCCUUCUUCAUUUAAUAAAAUAAUAAUUUUUUAACCACCAAUAAUGUUUAACAUUGUAUUUUAAUCCCUGCACCUCCUUUUAUUAACAAAAUUAAAUUUAAUACAACCAUUUUUGUCACUUACAAAGCUAUUCAAUCUUGUAUGCACCUCAUCAAAUAAAAAUUUAAUUAAAUAUAACAAAGUAAAAACAGAAAAACAAUUAAAAAACCCUAAAUCCCAAUUAAUUGUUUGUAUCUCCAAGUGCAGAUAAGCAGCUCUCAAGUGCGGAGCGACGGAGAAAAGAAGACGCAGCUAAGUGCCGAGUGGAGAAACGCACCUCCCAAGUGCGGAGUGAAGAAAGGCACCUCCCAAGUGCGGAGAAAGAGAAGACGCAGUUCCCAAGUGCGGAGAAGGAGAAGACAAACUGUAGCUCCCAAGUGCGGAGAGAACGAACUGCAGCUUCCAAGUGCAGAGAAGACGAACCGCAGCUCCAGGUGCGGCUUCCAAUCAACCGCAACCCUCUCAACCGCACUUCCCUGUGCGCCUUGCCUCAACAUCAUGAACGUCAAUCCCAAAAACAAACACCUCUCAUAACCCACAAAACCAGAGGACUCCCUCAACAGUAAAAAAUGAGGAAGGAGGGGAAGAGGGGAGAAGUGAGAGAGAAAGAAAGGGGGUGUAGAGUUUCAGAUGAAAUGCGGCAAAAAAAAAAAUGUGAAAAAAUGCAGCAAAAAAGAGAAUGUUAAAAGAGGACAAAAUUGUCAAUUAAGAGGUGCAGGAUGAGACAGGUGAGGUGUAGGGAGGAGCGUUCCUCGCAUUCUCCUUUCACCCUACAUCGUCUUUCUUCUGCAACCGUAAGUAACAAACCCUAAUCUCACUCUUGCUCUCUUUACUCAAUCUAUUGGUUUCAGUUAAUUACUUAAUUGCGUUUCUAUUUUGCAGGAGUGUGAGUUAUGUGGACUCCGCGCUUCGGAUUUCAGAAACCUAUAAUGUGUACAAUCUGGAGAUAGGGCACGUGUCUUAUUGUUCUCUUAUGAGAUUGUGAUUUUACUGCUAAAUUGUAUGCUAAUCGAUUGGAGAUUUCAAGUGACAUUUAGUAAGAAAUCAAGUGAUCUGUUCAGGUCCUUGGGCACUUUUUUAGCAUCCUACAUUAGUUAUUGAUGUAGCCAAUCGGGCAGCUAGAAAAGCUGCAAGCUUCAUUUAUAAUUCUAUGAAUGGAAAUGGUGAAUCUGGCACUGGAAUUCAUGAUAAUGCCAAUACAAAAGCCAAGUUAAUUUUUUGGAACUACACCUUUUACUUCCAUGAUUCCAUCUUGCAAUAUGUGUAUUCAACAUUCUUGAUGUGUAUUUUUCUGCUGAUAUCUAUGAUACUUGGGAAUUAUCUUCCAAGUGGGAACUUGAGGCAUCUCAUAGUGGAGGCUUGCAUAGUUAAGAAUUUAAUGGAUACGCCAGUGCUUUUGUCCUGGUUAUGUCUCUACAUCUGUUUUGUCUUUUUCAGAUUCAUCACCUCUUAUAAUAUAUCAUUAUUAUAUUGCAAAAGAUGAAACUGAUGCAUUUAAACGUUUGAAAAUUAACGUUGGCAACGGAAAAAUAUUAUAUUUUAUUAAUUGCAAAUCAUUUGUUUUAAUGCAGCAACGUUCAAAUUUUGCUGUAACGUUAAAAAUAAUUUAUGUUUUUUAAUUUCUUUUAUUUCUUUUAUUCUUUCCUGACUCUAUAAAUAGGGAGCUUUCCCCCAUUCCAAAACACACAAAAAUCAUUCUUUCUCAUUCUCCUCUUCUUUGAGUUUUAUUCUCUAGUUUUUUUUUCUCUUUUCUAAAAAUAUUAUGGGUUUGUUUCUAUACUCCUUUUAGAGUUCUUUGCUAGUUCUGAGAUCAUCAGAAAUAUUCUGAGAAGUUCCUAUUGUAUCUUGGGGUACUUGCGCACACCGCGGAUAAGUCCUUAAGGACAGUGACUCUACAUGCCUCAGGAAAUUUUGUUCGUAAUUCUGUCAGCCUUUUACAACAAUCUUAAGGACUUAUGGCUGACGUCAACAUGCCUUCAGAGAACCAAACCAACAACAUGCUUUUGGAGAACCAAACCAUUGUUCCCGGAACCGAGACGGUCUUCGCAAAAUCACUUCUGGACGUGUCUAAAAUCGAGGUUUUGUCUAGACAGAACUUCCGACGCUGGCAAGAACGUGUUUCCACCCUUUUAGACAUGUAUGGAGUCACUGCUGCUCUUUCAUCUUCAAAGCCCGACUCCUCUAUUCCUUCAGACUCAAAACUAGUUGAAGAAUGGACUUAUGCGAACAAGGUAUGCCGACACACUCUGCUUAAUGCACUUUCUAAUGAUUUGUUCGAUGUGUAUUAUUCCUACAAGGAAGCAAAGGACAUUUGGGACUUGUUGAUUCUCAAAUACACUGCCGAAGAUGUCGUCAAACAAAGGUUUGUCAUAGGAAACUACUACCGUUGGGAGAUGGUUGAAGACAAAGACAUUAAAACUCAAAUCAAUGAAUACCACAAGCUGCUCGAAGACAUCAAAGCAGAGAACAUUCUACUUCCGGAUGAAUUUGUUUCAGAACUUCUGAUCGAGAAAUUGUCGCCAUCUUGGACAGAUUACAAAAAACAGUUGAAACACAGGCGCAAACAGAUGACUCUAUCAGAACUAAUUACACACAUAAUAAUUGAAGAUACCAACAGGAGGAGUCUACUACUGCAAGGGUCAAAGCUUUGACUACAAAGGCAAAUAUGGUAGAAGUAAGACCUACUCCCAAAAGGUACGAACACAAACCUGAUCACAAAAGGAAAAAUCAUUUUCUUAAAUCCUGUCCCAAUGAAUCUAAACCCACCUUCAAGAAGAAAGGAAAUUUAUAUGACUCAACCUAAAUGGUGUGUUGUACCUGUUCAAGAGAAUAAGGUAUGUAAACUUUUAAAAUCUUUGUAUGGGUUGAAAUAAGUACCAAAACAAUGGCAUGAAAAACUAAUGUAUUGUUAUGUGAUGGUUUUUCAUUUAAUGAUGCUGAUAAAUGCGUGUACUCUAAAUCUAAAAAUGGUGAUAGUGUCAUUAUGUGCUUGUAUGUGGAUGACAUAUUAAUAUUUGGUACGUGCAAUGAGAUUGUCGCUAGAACUAAAUUGUUUCUAGGAUCAAAAUUUGAAAUGAAAGACAUGGGUGAAGCCAAUGUGAUUUUAGGUAUUAGAAUCAUAAGGAAGGGAGAUAGUAUUUUGCUUUCUCAAGAACCAUACGUGGAGAAACUUCUUAAGAAGUUUGGGUUUUAUGACUUAAAACCAGUAAGUACCCCUUAUGAUGUUAAUUCUAAAUUAAUGAAAAAUAGAGGAGAAUCAUUAUCUCAACCUCAGUAUGCUCAGAUAAUUGGGAGCUUACUGCACUUAAUGUGCUUUUCUAGACCUGAUAUUGCUUAUGCAGUAGGUAGACUGAGUAGGUACACUCAAUGUCCAAAUCAAGAACAUUGGGAUGCACUUGCUAGGCUUAUGAGAUACUUAAGAGGUUCAAUGGAUUAUGCCAUUGAAUAUAGUGGAUUUCCCGCUGUACUAGAAAGGUACAGUGAUGCUAACUAGAUCUCUGAUUCAGACGAGACAAAAUCCACUAGUGGUUAUGUAUUCACACUUGGGGGUGGUGUGAUUACAUGGAGAUCAGCUAGACAAACUAUUAUUGCAAGAUCAAUAAUGGAAUCUGAGUUUUUUUCUCUUGAGAUGGCUAGUAAUGAGGCUGAGUGGUUGAAAAACUUCUUAGCGAACAUUCCACUAGGAAUGAAACCAACCCCAUCGGUAUCAAUACACUGUGAUUGCCAGUCGGCAAUAGCUAUAGCUAAAAACAAGAAUUACAAUGGAAAGAAUAGACAUAUACAAUUGAGACACAAUUUGGUGAAGCAGCUGCUAAAGAGUGGAACUAUUUCCAUUGAUUAUGUGAAGUCAGAACGGAAUCUAGCGGAUCCUCUGACAAAAGCCCUAGGAAGACAAAUGAUAUUAGAAACAUCGAGGGGAAUGAGACUUAAGCCACUUGCAAACAAACAAGUGAUGGUAACCCAACCUUUGUGAUUGGAGAUCCCAUGAAUAAGGUUCAUAUGGGUAAAAACAAGUCACUUGUUAGUUCUGAUAGCACUAAAUUGAUUUUAAUCAAUUAUGUCCCUUCCUAUGGUGUGUGUGAUAGUGCUAGAGACUGCAUUAUUGAGAGGCCAAACUUUGUUAUUAAAAUUCUAUGUGUUGGAAGAAUUUUAGCCUAAACAAAGUUUUUAAUGAUUUUCAUAUCCCUUAUGGGUGGUGUAUGAUUUGCAACAUACACUUGAUGAAAUCACCUAUAUGAGUGUCAAGUGGGGUCGCUUGCAUGAGAUCUUCGCAUGAUUUCUAGAGCACUCAUGAAUAUCGGGCAAGCAUAUGGCCUAGUAGCGCAACACAGCGAUAACAGCAAGGAUUGUGGGUGUGUAUUGUGAUUGACAAAACCUCUAACACACGUCAAGUGUCUUUGGUUCAUAUAGCUUGCUAUACCAAUUACACUGUGUGUUAAGUAUCUCAAUCUAAGACUGGUUCAUAUAGCUUGCUAUACCAGCUCUGAUGUGUUACAUCUUAUGAGACCCAGAAUAAAAGUUUUUAUUUUUUCUUUCAACUUUUACAAUAUGUGGGGGAUUGUUAUAAUAUAUCAUUAUUAUAUUGCAAAAUAUGAAACUGAUGCAUUUAAACGUUUGAAAAUUAACUUUGGCAAUGGAAAAAUAUUAUAUUUUAUUAAUUGCAAAUCAUUUGUUUUAAUGCAGCAACGUUCAAAUUUUGCUGCAACGUUAAAAAUAAUUUAUGUUUUUUAAUUUUUUUUAUUUCUUUUAUUCUUUCCUGACUCUAUAAAUAGGGAGCUUUUCCCCCAUUCCAAAACACACAAAAAUCAUUCUUUCUCAUUCUCCUCUUCUCUGAGUUUUAUUCUCUAGUUUUUUUUUUCUCUUUUCUAAAAAUAUUUUGGGUUUCUAUACUCUUUUUAGAGUUCUUUGCUAGUUCUGAGAUCCUCAAAAAUAUUCUGAGAAGUUCCUGUUGUAUCUUGGGGGACUUGCACACACUGCGGAUAAGUCCUUAAGGACAGUGACUCUACACGCCUCAGAAAAUUUUGUUCGUGAUUCUGUCAGCCUUUUACAACAUCACCUCCAGAAAAAUCUCCAUUGUCAAUGUUUAUGGAAGGAACACCAUUAAACAAUACUCUUAUAAGUUCUUUAACAAUGAUCCCUGCCUCAAGGUUUAUUUCUUUUGUCAAAUUUGAUCUAAUUUUGAUGUUAUUUUAACUGCUAAUGAUUGACCUUCAUAAUCUUCUUCUAUCUUAGCCUGACAAAGAUAGAGAAGUUAUACUAUAUUGCAUUAAAUGGAUCAGAUGUGGAAAGGCCAGCAGCUGCAAAGAUUCUAUGUGGUGCAUCUCUUGGUCAUGGAUGGUAUAUUCAGGUGAAAAAUCCUAUUCCUACUAGAGAUAUUGUAAAUUGGUAAUCCUCCUGCAACAAUAAAAAGUGCAAGUGCAAGUGUUAAACGUGUAAAAAAAGGUGAAGAAUGACAUAUAAUAUAGUAACUAAUAAUAAUUUUAAACUAAAUAAUGUAGUAUAUGAUAUAAAAAAUAAAAUUUAAUAAACUAGAUAAUACAUUGGUUUUGUUCCUUCAAUUUUUGAAUGUAAUGUAAAAGUUUCUCUAAUUAGCUUCUACAAAAGCUCUAUAAAAGUUAACUUUUUUAUUGAGCUCUGUGUGGAGAAAAAUCCAAUAAGUUGGGGUGAAUGCUGAAGAAGUAGAGAUAUUGCAUUCAAGCCAAGGAAACAAAAGAUCAAUUACGUCUUUAAUCAUGUUAUCUGCCAUAUUUGUUCAUCUACAUUUUAGCAAUAUAAAAACCAUCCUUAUGCAUCAUUACUGGAAACUUAAUGUAUAUGAUUGUAUUUAUCUUAUAUGGCUAUUGUUAUUGUCAUUAGUUAUUUUGGAGAGGAGUUGGGAUAUGAUCAAUAUUUUAAUUUCUAAAAGCAAGUUAGAAUCCUUAAUCUAAAUUUUUGAACUAGGAUGGGUAAGUCUCUGUGUGGAACCAUUUUCGUAGGGUAUUGCACAAAUUUAGUGAACUAAUUCUGUCUCUUAGACUAGAUUAUUUUACGAGAUAAACUUGUCAAGUUUUUUAGGUACUUCCCUUGAACUUCUUAUGACUAGAUUACUGUUUUUGAGCUCACAAGAAAUUAGUUGUGUGGUUUUCCAUGUGCUAAUACAAGUUCAAUUUGCUAUAGCACAAGUUGAUGUUGGUCUUUCCUUGAUUAUGAAUUGCAAGUUGGGAACUAUGUUGAGAAGAUUGGUUUGUGUAUGCAUGACAGGGAAAAGAGAAGAUUGGUUUGUGUGAUUGGUUUUUAAUUCACUUUUUAUUAAAAAAAAUUGUUGGUUGAAUAUUUAAAACCUUUAGUAUUUUUUAAUUAAAUUAUUAUUAUUUAAUUUCUUUCAUUAAUUGAAUGAUAUAAUUACUGUUAUAUUAUUUGCUUAUCUCUACAUCUUGAUAAAUUUAGAAUCCCUUUGUUGGCUUGAUCGGGUGGAGAAGUUGAGGAAAAGUUGGAGUAGCUCAUUGCAAUGGGGUCAUUGGGUACAACAUACUCUCUUAGGUCUACUAUGAACUUUAUGCAUCAAAAUCAAUAUUGUUAACGAACAUUUUCUCAAUCAUAUUUUUAGUAUUUUAAUUUGGGUUAAAUAUGUUUUUGAUUCCUUAACUUUUAGUAAAAAUUGGAAUUAGUCCCUCUUCAAAACUUUGGCCUAAUUUAGUCCCCCAACUUUAGAAAUGUAUGAAUUUAGUUCUUUUAACGAAAAUUCGUUAACUUUAUUUGAUGCUUCAAACUAAUUUAGUUCUUUACAAUAGUAUAAUUAUCUAACUAAUUUAGACUUAGAAUGAUUCUGUUUAAUAUGAAUUCGGUGCAAUGAAAAUAAACAUAAUGCAUAAGUGGUAAAUUGAACUUCUUGGGGUUAAAACACUUGGAAAUUAAAUGAUUAGAGAUUAUAUGGAAUGAAGAUGUUGGAGAAUGAUUUUACCUACUACACUCUCAUGCAAAUGCACAUUACUAAUUCUUCAUUUAAUUGCUCAUGCCAACCUACUAAGUUACUCAAACGCAAUCCCUUGGUAGAGAGAGCCUAGAUUCACUCAUUAAAUUCCAAUCCCUUGGUAACCUAACAAGUUCAUCUGCAUUAAUAUUAGAGGUUUAAGACAACUAAAGGUCCAAGCUCUAUCCCUAGACACAAUUUUCUUUAGGUGUUUAGUCCAGUUCAAGGUUCACACAAUAUUUCCCAAUAUCAAGCAAACCAAAUAAUCAUGCUAUGGUUGAUCAAGUCAUAACAAGGUUUAAGAGAAGGAAAUAAACACUUACAAUAAAUGAAAGAAGCUUAUAUUCAUUAAACACAAGUGCAUUUACAAGAAAGUUUCGCAGUUACAUCAUUCCCCAACAAAAUGAACUUGAUCUUACAAUGGAAGAAUAGAGAGUUCCCACUGCUCAAAACCAACUCCCAGAGGUCAAAAAUGGUGUUUUAGAGCUUCAACCGCCAAGAAGAUGGCACCCUCAUUACAUGGAAGCCUUAAAUAGGGCUAAGGUGCCACAUUAGCAAAAGUCGUGCCCAGCCCCCCCUCUUCUUAGGCGCCCAGGCGCGAGGGUUGCACAAGGUCAGCAAAGUAAAUGGUGCCCAAUCCCCUUGUGGGGCGCCUAGACGUGAAACUCGCAGUGAAAUGCGAAUUGAAUGGGGCUCAGCCCCCCUCCUGAGGCGCCCAAGCGUGGGCAAUCUUUCAUUAUCCUUAAAAACACUUGCUUUUUGCAGCUUUUUCUAGGCUCCUACUCUUGGUAGUUUAGAUGUUAUUCCAAAGCACACAAAUUCCCUACAAAACUUGAAGAAUUAGAGAUGGAAACUCCUAUGUGUAACCUAAGCUAAACUUAUUCACAAAGUUAGAUAAAAGAGAGGAUUAAGCAUGUUUCAAGUUCAAGAGAGUUCAUUUGGUAAGAAAAUUGCACCACGGAUAAUGGUAAGAAUUACCGUUAUCACUAUUCCUAAUAAUAUACAGGAAGCUUUGGCAGAUCCUAGACGGACCAAAGCAAUGGUUGAGGAGAUGACAACUUCAGAAAAAAAUAACACUUGGGAUCUUGUGUCCUUACCAAGAGGGAAGAAAAUUGUGGGUUGCAAAUGUGUAUUUACAAUUAAGAAUAAACGUAUGGAACUAUUGAGAGGUAUAAAGCAAGACUUAUGGCUAAAGGUUACACUCAAUCUUAUCGUAUAAAUUUCCAAGAGACUUUCGCACCGGUAGCCAAGCUCACUGUGAGAAUACUUUUGUCGUUAGUUGCAAACUAAGAUUAGCCUCUUCUACAAUUUGAUGUGAAAAAUGCUUUUCUACAUGGAGAAAUUUCAAAAGAAAUUUACAUGGAUUCUUCACUAGGCAUGAUAGAUUCAAUUGGAAUGAGGGUUUGCAAAUUAAAGAAGGCUUUAUAUUGAUUAAAAUAAUCCCCAAGAGCAUGGUUUGGAAGGUUUACCAAGUCUAUGAAAGUUUUUGGCUAUAAAGCAAGUAACUUUGGUCACACCUUAUUUUUUAAGAGUGGAAAAGGAAAAAUUACAGCGUUGAUUAUAUAUGUAGAUGACAUGAUUGUUAUAGGAAAUGAUCAAGAUGAGAUUUCUAGUUUACAAAAUACCUUGCAUCUGAAUUUGAGAUGAAACAACUUGGAAACCUCAAAUAUUUUUUGGGUAUUGAAGUAACUAGAUCAAAACAUGGUAUUUUCCUAUGUCAAAGAAAAUAUACUAUUGACUCAUUGUCGAAAACUAGGCUACUUGGGAGUAAACCAGCUGAUACACCAAUUGAACAAAAUCGUAAACUCUUUUAAUGCUCAAAUUCAGCAAGCAUAAACAGAGGGAGAUACCAAAGAUUGGUUGAAAAAUUAAUUUAUUUGUGCCAUACACGUCCAUAUAUCACCUAUGUAGUGAAUGUUGUUAGUCAAUUUAUGCAUGACCCACAAAAACUUCAUAUGGAUGUUGUUGAGAGCAUUGUGAGAUAUUUGAAGUUCGCUCCUGGAAAAGGAAUUUUGUUUUAAAAUUAUUGAAACUUAAAGGUAGAAGGGUAUACUGAUGCAGAUUGGACAAGUUCAAAAUAUGAUAGAAGAUCUGCCUUUGGAUAUUUACUUUUUUGUAGGAGGGAAUCUUGAAACUUGGAGGUGUAAAAAACAGCCUGUAGUAGCAAGAUCUAGUGCUGAAGCACAAUUCAGAGGCAUAACACUAGGUGUAUGUGAACUUUUGUGGAUUAAAAAUGUGCUAUCAGAUUUGGGCUUUAAACCAAAUGAAGUUAUGAUUUUGUACUCUGACAAUACUUUGGCUAUAGCAAUUGCUCACAAUCCUAUGCAACAUGAUAGAACAAAAUAUGUGGAUAUAUUGAUAGACAUUUUAUCAAAGAGAAGCUUGAAGCUGGAAUAGUUUCAUUUCCUUUUGUAAGAUCAGAAUUGCAGUUGGCUGAUGUUCUCACUAAAGGAGUGUCAAGAAGAUUGUUCAAUAAGUCUCUAUUCAAGUUGGGAAUGUGUGAUAUCCAUGUACCAACUUGAGUGGGAGUGUUAAGAUAUGCCAAAUAUUCUAUUAACGGAUAUUAGGUAAUCAAAUAUUGUGUUNGUUAUAAUUUAGAUAUUAUUAUAAUUUGUGCAGAUUCGUACACCUGUCAUUCCUUUAAUAGAUGAAGAAUUGUAGGAUUUUUGUGUGUACAUAUAUAUAUAUAUAUAUNNNNNNNNNNNNNNNNNNNNUAUAUAUAUAUAUAUAUAUAUAUAUAUAUAUAUAUGUAUAUAUAUAUAUACAUAUAUACAUAUAUACAUAUAUACAUAUACAUAUACAUAUAUAUACAUAUAUAUACAUAUAUAUACAUAUAUAUACAUAUAUAUAUGAUACUCUACUCUUUAAAAUAAUACAUCAGAAUUAUUCUUUAAAUCUUUUUGUUAUGAAAGUACACUCACUAUAUUUUGGAAUCUAAUUAAGCCUUCCACCAAAUUUCAAAAGUCAAAAAAAACUUUUAAUUAGAUUUCAAAAUCAGUUAGGAGCUCAUCAGAAAAUUUUUAUUCGAAUAUGAUUCUAGUUCCCAAUGUAUCUAAAUCCGAUAGAUUCUUUACUGAAUUUUAAAAAUUGGAUAAAAGCUAUAAUCGGAUUUUGUAAUUCAAUAAUUCUAUAUUUCUAAAUCCAUAUAGCACUCAUUUUUAUCUUCAUAUAUACUAUAUUGAUCAUUUUAAAUGGAAUGCAAAUCAAUAUAUUUAAAAAAAAUGGAAUAUGCAUAUCUGGUGACUGGUGUCACUAGUGGAAAAACGUUGUAUAACGUCACAACAUAGACGUCGGUUGUUAUGUGCACUGACGUAAAACGUUGACCAGUGGCAAAUUCGUAAUUAAGUAGGACAAGUAGAUGUCGGGCCCUGGCCUAACCGAUUCCUGAAGAAGUCUAGACGUCGGUCCCCCUAUUAGGCGACGUCUAAAGGGAUGUCAGGUAAGGUCAAUAAUCGACCUAUAGACGUCCACAAGACAACCACCAACGUCUAUAGGUCUCAGAGAUGGUGAAAAGUCGCGAGGUAGACGUCGGUGCCCCCUAUUGGACGUCUAUAACCUAACAGGUAGUUGGGUGCCAUUAUUGUCUGAGACAUAGACGUCGGCGUCCCCGCUAAGGGACGUCUAUAACCUGACAGUUAGGUGAAACUAUAAUGAUUAUGCUACAAACUAGACGUCGGUUACCAUGCAACCGACGACUAUGUCCAACUAGACGUCAGUUGUGCACAUACCUGAUGUCUAUAAUCCACGCCAACAUUAAUAUUUAAAUCAUAUAGACGUCGAAUUAAUGAGAGCACCGACGUCUAUAACCUUACAAACGUCUGUCGAGAUGGAUAACCGACGUCUAAAGUGACAUAAACUUCAGAACGCGAACCUGCGAGCAGUUUCCACUAUUCAUCGUCUUCUUCGUCGAGAGCCCUUCUCCGUCGUGCCAUUAGAGGUUCGUUUUCUGUGUUUUUGACCGUUUAAAUUUAGUUUUGCUCUGAUUGAAUUAGUCUUUGAUGAAAAAGCUUUCAUUUGAACUGAUCAUAAUUUCAUUUCGUUGCGUUUUGUUGCAGUUUCGAACAUCUUAUUAGGUUGCGUUUUCGACUAUUUUUGGACUUCUUUUCUGACCUAUAUUUGGGCGUGCACUACGACAGCUAUCUCAUUUGGUUAUAUAUAAUCUGCUAAAAAGGUUAGGUUGUUUCUUGAAAACUUAAUUUGUAUGGAUAUUAUUAGCUUUUGUGUAUGAUGUUGGCAUUUUGAAUUUGCAUUUUAUUAGUUUUUUUUAUGAUUUCAUAUUGACGUUUAGGUAUACAUGUGUUUGCAAAUUGUUAGUAUAUGCAUGUGUUUGCAGAUUGUUGGUAUAUGCAUGUGAUUAAAUUUAGUUGCAUUAGUGUGAAAUCACUUAGUGAAAAUUAUUUCUCGUUUGAAAUUUAACACAAACGAUUAAAAGAUUAAUCGUUUGUAUUAAAUUUUGAAUUGUCCGAUUGUCCAAUUGUCCAAUUUUAUACUGAUGAAGUAUGUUAUGAACAUAGUAUGGAUCGAAGCUGGAUGAAUGCACGUCGCCUCUCUGAAGAAUAUGAGAAGGGUGUUUCGGUGUUCUUGCAAUAUGUUAAAGAAAAGGCAAAGUCUGUGAACGGGACAUAAUUUCUUCCUUGUGUUCGUUGUCUUAAUCAAAUGCGACAAUACUUGGGCAAUUUGCAUGAUCAUCUAUUCAUGUUCGGCAUAACGAGAACGUAUACGGAUUGGACUUGGCAUGGAAAAGUACUGGACCAACCUAUGACGUCACGAGGAACAAAUUAUGUAGAAGAAUGGAUGAGUGAUCAUUUAGAGGACAUGAUACGUGAUGUUGGUGAAGAUAACUUUAGAAGAGCUAAUUUGUACGAUUUUGUAAUCAAUGAUUCUGAGCAACCGUUGUACCCAGGCUGCAUGAACUUUACACGUUUAUCUACAACUUUGAAGUUGUUCAGUUUAAAAGCAAGGAACGGAUGGAUCGAUAAAAGUUUCACGGAGUUGUUGGAUUUACUGAAGGACAUGCUUCCAGAAAAUAAUACUCUUCCUAUUCAAAAUUACGAGGCCAAAAAAGUUUUAUGUCCAAUGGGUCUUGAAUAUUAGAAGAUACAUGUUUGCCCCAAUGAUUGUGUUUUGUACACCAAGGAGUUUGCUUCACUAAAGUACUGUCCAACAUGUGGUAUAAGCCGUUUUAAAAAGAAAUCUGACAAAAACACUAGUGAAGAAGGUAAUGAUGGUGCACCUAGAAAGGUCAUAUGGUAUUUGCCUAUAAUACCUAGGUUCAAACGUAUUUUCUCUGUUAAGGAGGAUGCAAAGAACCUUAAAUGGCACGUUUUAGGAAGAAAGUGCGAUAAUCUUCUUCGCCACCCAGCAGACUCACCAUAGUGGAAGAAGAUCAAUGAAACAUUUCCAGAAUUUGGUGCAAAUCCAAGAAACUUAAGACUUUCACUUGCAACUGAUGGCAUGAAUCCGUACGGGAACUUAGGUAGCAAACACAAUUCAUGGCCAGUUAUGUUGAUGAUAUACAAUCUUUCUCCUUUGCUGUGCAUGAAGAGAAAAUAUGUCAUGUUGUCAAUGAUGAUAUCUGGUCCUAAACAACCUGGCAAUGACAUUAAUGUUUACUUGAAACAUUUAAUUGAUGAUUUGAAAUUGUUGUGGGAAGAAGGUGUUGAAGUGUUUGAUUCAGAUGUUGAAGAGAAUUUUCGUUUGCGUGCAAUGUUGUUUUGCACUAUAAAUGAUUUCCCGGCCUAUGGAAACUUGAGCGGUUAUAGUGUUAAAGGACAUUUUGCAUGUCCGAUUUGUGAAGAAAACACUAGUUACCUUCAAUUGAAGCAUGGUCAGAAGACGGUUUAUACAAGACAUCGAAAAUUCCUUCCUUGCAAUCACCCUUAUCGUAGAUUGAAAAAAGCAUUCAAUGGAAGUGCCAAGGAUGAGGUUGUGUGCAGACCCCGGAAUGGUGAAGAGGUGUACCACAAAGUCAAAAACAUUGACAUUGUAUUUGGAAAACAUUGUAAAAGUACAUAUCCAAAAAAUGUUUGGAAGAAACGAUCAAUAUUUUUUAAUCUUCCUUAUUGGUCUUUCUACGAAUUUAUAUUUACAUGAAAAUUUCAAUUUCAAUUCAUAAUAACUAACCUUGUGUAUAUUUUUAAGGUAUGUCGACCUCAGACUCAGCAUCAGCACAGAGCAAACGUACAAGAGGAGUGACACAUUUGCUAGAAGCGACAUCCGGACAGGUUCCUGGGCAGAGGAAACAUCUUGAGAUUGACCCAAGAACAGGUGUGGCCUCAGGGCCAAAUCCUGAUAAUUUUAGUAGUUAUCUGGGUAAGAUAGCCAAAACCCAUGUUUCUAUCCUUCACGCAACUUGGGAUGACAUCCCAGAGGUCGAGAAGAACCUUUUAUGGCGAGAUGUUCAGGUAUGGUUACUUAAAAGAAAUUUGAUAUAAUUAUUUAUUUGAUCUUAUUAUGUCAUUCACACGUUCCUUGUUUUAAAAAGCUAAAAUAUGAUGUUUCAAACACCCAGAACAUGAGGCAGAAAAUCUUAUCGCACAUAUGUAAGAUGUGUAGGGAUUUCAAGAUAAGGCUGACACAUGUGUAUGUAUUUGGAAAAAGACAACAUGAGAAUCCAUCUCAGAAUUAUUCCUUUACAGAAGAAGAAUGGAUCCAGUUUCGUCAAUCUAGAGAGACUGAGGAAUGGAAUGUAUUAAUCUUAACCAACAACGUCUUCAAAGCAGUUUUUAUUAUUAUAUAGUUAUGCGUAAAAAUUGUUUUACAGGGUAAAAGGUUAGCUGCCCAAGAAAGGCAAAGGCUAAAUGAUGCACCACACGUCUUAUCACGAGGUGGUUAUGCGAAACUGGAGAAGAAACUUAGGAAGGAUCGAGCGGAUGAGUUGGGGCUUGAGUCCCCGGACCUAGCACCUCCACCUACAAGGUACGAGAUGUGGAAGGCUACUCGGACGAAAUCUGAUGGGAACAUGACAUCUGCCUCAGCCAUAGCGAUCUCAUAGAGAAUUGUAAGUUGAAAUUGUAAACAUUACUUUAUUGGCUUUUUAUCAUAUCUUGCAAUUUAAGUAACGUAAAUUUUUUAAUGUGCAGGAUGAGUUGGUUGAGCAGCAGACACAGGGAACAUUUAUUCCCCAAGGUAGGGAUGACAUUUUAACAACGGCCAUUGGCAAACCGGAGCACCCAGGACGUGUACGUGCAGUUCCUGGGUCCAUUGGUCUUCGUGAGUACUUUGGCCCUGUACAAAAAACAACUCAAUCAACAAAUCAGGAGGCACUGAAGCAGAUGGAUCUUCAGUGGGAACAAAGAAUUCUUCAAAUGGAGCAACGCUUCACUCAACAACUAGAAUAAAAAAAAUAAAUACAAAGAGCGCUGGAAGAGAAGCUAUAAUCCAUGACGUAGGCCACCGUGGGUGUGCCCACUAAAACUCCCACACCACCUCCUGCCAACACCAAAGGAUCCUGCUCCGCUGUUGAACCUACUAACUACAUUGGUCAGUAUGACUUGUUGGUUGAUGGGGAUCCCGCACGCAUUGUGGUUGUCAGACGAGUAAUUGAGGGAGGCCAGACUAUUCAUGGUGUUCCCAUAUCACCCGACCACGUGCGUGUCAUGAUUGACGAGGUUCGGGAUCCACAGGCUCAGGUGUUUGUACCAACUCCUAAAGUUCAAUUUGUGGGGGAGGCGAUAGGAACUUUUUUAGCCUGCCCUAGAGCAUUGGUUAUCACACACAUUGGUACACAACAGGUAUAAUAUUGUUAUCUUCACUAAUUUUAUAUUAUCAAUUAAAAAUAUUUGUUCAUAACUUUGAAAAUUUUAUGUUCAGUUCACAGUCCUCAAAAGCAAUCGAUGCAUGACGCACCAAUACCUGAAUAUGAUGAUGCUGAUGAUGGUGAUGACACGGCUGAAGCAGAAGAUAAUCCCAUAGCAAAGCUACUGUCAAACAUUCCCAAGUUCAACAAAGGAUCAAUACAAAUAUACUGGGAAUUACGAGUAUUUGGUCUUCCCCCCAUAUGCCAGUAUAUAUCACAUUCAAUGAUGUAUCGGAGACCAUCCAGGGAGACAAGGAGUUGAAUAUUUCCAUUCUUCAACUCUGGUGCAUGUAAGACAGUUAAUUUUGUCAACCAUAAUAGUUUAAGUUAGAUGCCUACUUUGUAACAAGUUAACUUUGUUGUUAUAGGUACAUGGACACAGUCAUUGUAGACCAAGGUCGGUCUUCCAUUUACGGAUUUGUUGAACCUCAAACCAUUCAACGUUGUGGUAACACAACUCAAAUCAAACAAGAUUACUUGCAAACAUGGAUGGCUGAGUCAAACAGAGACAUAUACCUUGUGCCAUACAUUGAUGGGUAUGUGUUGUUUUAUGUAAAAGGUAAUUAAAUGUUUCCUUAAUUAGUUUACUAACUAUUUAUGAUGUUCCAAACAGGGCUCACUGGCAGCUGGUGGUCCUCAUUCCCAAACAAAGUACAGUUGUCUUCUUCUGUUCGCUGCAAAGGAAGAUGAAAAAUGACUUGAAAACCAUGCUUCAAGGGUAAGUGUAUCACUAAAAAUGACUUUUAAAUUCAUGUAGGCCUUAAUUUUUUAUGAUUUCAUACUUAUAUUCAUAUUACUUUCUAUUUUAAUGUAAAUAGAGUAAUGGGUAAAUCUCGAGGUCAGCUAAAUCAAGUCUUGUAUCCCAAGGUUUGGUUGGUGCAUUUAUAGUUUUAAUUCAUUUAUUUUCGUUAUUCAAUGAUCUUAAUUCUUGACUAUAUUUAGUUUGUCAUUUUAGUGUAACAGACAGCUAGAUUCAUGGGAAUGUGGGUACUAUGUGAUGUCUUGGAUUAAGACCAUCAUUCGAGCUGGCAUUACACAUAGUUGGAAUGAGGUAAUAAUCAGUCUUACUUUGAAAACAUCAAAAAUCAAUUAAUUCUUUUGAACAUAUAUCAAACCAUAAUCAAUAUUUCUUAAUUGUGNAGCGCUUCAACAAUAUAUNUGNUUUACCCGAAGACACGAUAAAGCAGCUAAGGCACGAGUGGGCAACUUAUCUUCUCCAAAAGUGGAACUAGAGCAAGACUUAUUUUUGUUGUUUUCAACUACAUAGGUUUAGUUUAAGUUUAUAAUUUCAUUUUUUUUAUCUGUGAUUGAAUUAUAUCUAUUUAUAGCUCAAACAAACAAUUCUUUAUUAUAAACAAUUGUUCUGGGAAAUUUUUCUGAAUUUCAGGUGUGGUUAUAUUCGAAAAAUAAAAUUUUUAUUAAAAAAAAAUACCCAGUAGACGUCGGUUCAUGCAAAAAGCGACGUCCAAUAAGUAACAGUGGACAAAAAAAUCCAGCGUGCACAGACGUCAUUUUUGUUGACCAUUGACGUCUUAACAUCUAUUGUGGCUACGCCUGACGUCUAUGUAAACGUCGUAUUUGUACAUAGCCGACGUCUGUCAUUACCAGACUGAUGUAAAGUUAAUGUCACUGAAAUAUACGUCGAUUCCGUAAGUGACGUCAAAAGCCCAAAAUAACCGAUGUUAAACAGCUUUUUUCCACUAGUGUGCAUGGAUGAAGAACGAACAUUGGUUUAUGAUGAGUUUUUGGAUACCGUUCAUUGCAUGCAUCACACUUUUCAACGAUUUUUUUCAUUUAUAUAUUCCUUUUUAAAAUGUUAUGAUAAAAAAAUUUAAACAUCAUUUAAUAAUCAUUUAACAAUUUAUAUAAUAUAAAAGAGUCAUUAAAAUAUAAUUUUUUAUUUAUAAAAAAUACUAAGAUAUCAUGUAAAAAAGUUUUGAAUAUCAAAAUAACAAUAUCUAAAUUAAAAAAUAUGAUUACUCCUAAAAUUUAAAUACUCAAUUCAUACACAAUUUAAGUGUGAAAAAUUUUCUGUAGAAUUUUAAUUUAUUUAACAAUACAGUAAGAAUACAAUAAGGUGAGGUGCUGCACACACUAUACAUAUUUCCAAUGUGAAAGAAAAAAUUUACAUUUGUGCUUAUUUUUAUUCUCAUUAAGAACGAAAUUUUGUAUUUCAUCCAUUUUUAUGUUAUCAUUACAUAUUUACUCUUAUAUAUUUAAAUAGUAAUUUAAUAAUUUUUAAUUAUAAAUUAUAAAUUAUAUAAAAUUCUCAUAAACUUAUUUCUUGAAAUUUUAAAUAUAGCUGAUCUUGUUGAGUGACUAUGGAUAGAUCUGAAUGAGAGACCUUAUGCCCAAAACGGGAGUUAUAUCGUAGUUAUUGAAACCAGCAGAGGAAAACAGCUUAACCCACUCUUUUUUGUUUCUCUCUUUUCCGUGGACCAUCACCAUCAACAUAUCAAAGAAGAGUUGUGUUUCAACAUAUUCUUCAUCUUUCACUUCAUUAUCCAUCACAAUGUCUAUGAUUAUCACCUUCCCUUUUUUCCCUUUCUUAGAUAUAGCUUCCUUGCAUUUCUUCAAUAUUCUCACACACUCCUCAUCGUUCCAGUCAUGUAAUAUGCACUGUUUUCUCAUACAAAAAGUAGAAGGAAUUCAGCUUAUUAGAAUAAGCAUCUCAAGUAAUAUAAUUAAUAUAGUAGGGCCACUUAUUAUAAGUCAGAUGACCAAGUUGAAUCUGCAAACCUAACAUUAACUAAAUUAGUUAUGUUUAUUAAUUAGAAAAAGACUCAUCCAAAGAAAGAAAGAAAGCCAAAAAAGUGUUACUAAUAAGUUAUUUGAGGAGACAAGAGAAUAAAAAUGAGGAGCAAUAUUACUAUAUAUAAUUUGCUAUAUUUUUCCAUGUUCAUAUAUGAUUCUGAAACAAUUGCUAUUCGAUAUUUAAUUUGAAGAAAUAGUUAGAAUACACUAGUGCUAGCUUACCGAUAAUCAUUAUAUAUGUUGAUUAUUUCGUUUGAUCAACAAUGGUGAUAUUGUUCUUUCUUUCCCAAUUGAUCAAUACAUUGGCUCAAUUUUCUGAAGUUUAACAUCAAGUAAAUUGAAAGAAAAGUUAAGAAUGUAACAGUGUACUAUGAUUUGUAACGAUAUUUUACCUUCAACAAAAUGGCAUUUGUUGGAGGAAUCUCCUCAAACAUGUCCCCUCCAACAUAUUUAAGGUUGUCACUUCCUUGCAAGCCAGAAACAACAUGUGGAAGAUCAAAUACGAUGCAUUCCAAUUGAGGGAAGGAUUCGGCAAUGGCCUUUCCCAUGGUUCCUGUACCUUCCCCAACAUCAACCAAUGACUCCAAUCCCAUAAACACCCCUUUGCAUUUCUCAAUCACUGAACUAGUGAUUAGUUUAGCAUCACUUGCCAUAGCAUCAUUGAAUAAGAUGUUAAUUCUGGGAUCACUGCCAGCAUACUCCCAAAACAAUUUCCCAUGUGCCAUUUCAAAGGGUGUAGUAAUACCAUUUUUGAACCAACUAGAAAACUGAUUCCAUGGAUUUGUUAAAACUGGAUCAAGCAUGGCCUGCAGGAAAGGUGCCAUACUCAUUUCAUGGCUCUUAAGCAGAAGGAAAGAGGCAUCAGUGAGUGCAUACUUGACUUCAAGGUCGUUGUCGGUGUGAUUGAGUUGAGAGAAGAAGCCAGAAUGGACCAUGAUUCGCAUCAAGCGAGGGAUGAAAUGAGUUUUGGAAGAAUGAAUUGGAAGUGAAGCAAUGAGGUUUGAGAGUGAGAUGGGUUGGCCAUGGUUGUGUAUGAUGUCUGCUAUGCCUAACUCAACAACACACUUAAGGGACAUGGAAUUUAUGAAGUUAAAAAUAUGAUUCCAUAUGUGUGUUUGAGCCCUCAGUAGUUUCGCGUCAUGGGAUUCCAUAAUUUCUUGCAUAAACUACUUGUUCAAUUUGGAGUAUGGAACCUCACACGAUUUGGGUCUAUUUAUAUGCAACCGAAUAUCCAAGCGGCCACUUUAUUAUAAUUCAUAGUAUAUGACGGUAGAUUAUUAUGCCUCCAUACUAAUAUAAUUCAAUAUAUUAUUUGUGUUGGUUCUACCUCCAUACUAAUCAUCUCAAUGUUAACUUAUGGGUCUCACAAUUUAUAAUUUGUAGGAAUUCUAUUUCAUUUGAAUCUUUGUGCCGAAAAAGAUAAAGUUAUAAUACCCUGCAUUGUUGCGUUAAAUAUUAUUAUAACAAAUAAUAUUAAAAAGAAAAAUAUGAGAAAUAUAUAACAAAUAAAAUAAGAAUAAGAACUGUACCGAAAGAAAAUUAAGAUUUGAUUGAACUAUUAUUAACUUAACAAAAAGUAUAAAGAUUUAUCUCAACUAUUAUAAAUAAAAGUGUAAGAAAGAUUUCAUAAAAUAAUAGAGAAUCUCAAACAAAACUCAUCCGACUUGUAUCAGAACGUGUCCGGUCUACAAAAGAGCCUGACCUGCCUUCCGUAUAGCCCGUUUGAUCUUCGUUACUACUCUUCUACCAGCACCAACCUCCAGCCCGUCCAAGAACCUCAUAAAAAAAAUGAUAAACACAAUUAUAUAUUAAUAUUACGUGUUAUUUGUGUCAGAUUUUCAUCAUUUAGGUUCCUUAAAAGCUUUAUUAAUUGUAUUAGAACGAUUAUAUAUAGAGACAAAGUGGUGAUUGUGUUGAUGGUGUCAACUUGUAUACUUUUGCAACGCUUUCCUUCUUAAAAUAAUAUAAAAGAUCUUGCUUGAUGAUGAUGACAUAUAUGUUUUAUUUAUCUCAAUUGGGUACGGUUAUAAUUAACUCAAUAAAAAAAAAUCUCAAGUUGUAUCUUAAAUGCAUGGUUUUUUUAAAAAGCUGAUCAAAUAUAAGCCAAAUAUUACGAGAAUAGGAAACAAAUUUUGCAAUUACGAUAAUAGGCAAGUUGUGGGAGUUCAGAUGACUUCAAAUGAAGAAGUCGUGCCUCCUCUGCAUGACUUCAUCCUAUAGCUUUGAUUAGGGGUGAAGUCGUGCAUCCAAAAACGACUUUUGGUCUUUGUAAUCUAUUACCAAGCAUUGUAAUCGAUUACAACAGGUUGAAGUCGUGUCCCCCUACAUGACUUCACCUUUGGUAAGAAAAAAUAACUCUGGUAAUCGAUUAUAACCAUGAUGUAAUUGUUUAGUUUUAUGUGUAAAACGCUCUGGUAGUCGAUCACAGCAUACUUGUAAUUGAUUACCAAAGAGUUUUAUGUGUAUAAAUGCUCUGGUAAUCGAUUACAACAGAGCCAUUUUCAUCUUAAUUGUGUAAAAACUUUUGGUUCUUUUAAGUUAAUUUUUGUCUAGUUAUUUUAAUUCUUGUAAAGACAUGGUUGUUGAAGAAAUUGACAUGUAUUAUUAUGUUUAGGAUGAGUAAUUUUUUGAAUUUAAAUACAAAUGGAAAGCAUAGAAGAAAGUCAAAACUGAAACUUCAACUAUUUUAUUGAAUUGAAAAUGCAUUACAUAAGGAAAAGCUAAAGAUAAAAUAAGAAGAAAAUACAAUGAAAUUGAAAUCUAUAUAUGAAGAAGAUCUGCCAUGUGAACCAAAAUGACGACGCAGAUACUACAUGUCCUACUCUAGAUGUUCGACUCGAGCAUCAAUUGUAUCAAAGCAGUCACCCAUGUUUAGCUCCAGUUGCUCAAAUCUAGCAUUUAUACUAUCAUUCAUAGUAUUGAAGUUGUCUCGAACAAAUGUUCAGAGAUCAUUGAUCCCCUUCAUGACGUCAUCAAAUGAAGAAGUUUGUUGGUGAAGAAGGGGUUAUGGUUGUUGUUGAGGAUUUUCUUCACGAUGGCGUGGAUGAGGAGGAGGAGCAUUUUUGUGAACCCAUUCACCGUCACGGUUUUUUUUAAAUGCAAAGCACUUUAUCACUUGUGCCUCUAUUCUCAUCUUCCUGUUUUCUGGGGCGGGCAUUUCAUCAUCCAAUGGAAUUCUAAAAUGUUGCAGGAUCCAGGUGACCAAAUAUGGAUAGAGUAAAGGAGCCCCUGCCCUGAAAGCCUUCUUCAUCCUAUAUCUGAUGAGAUGGCUCCAGUUUAUCUGUUUUGCCAUCAUUAUAAUCCACAUUAAAAGUAUAUCUUCUUUGGUAGCCUGUGCAAAGUUAGAAACAAGUGGAAACAAAAUACGAUAUAUAACAUAGUGUAAUAUUCUAGCCUCAACUGUCACAGAGUCGGCUAUAAUUAUACCAAUACGGGGUUUGUCUGGCAAACAAAUCAAGUCUCUUGCUACGUCAAUCCUGUAUUCAUCCUCCCAAUUGUCAAAUAAUUUACCUUCAAAAUUCAAGCCACCAGAUGACAGGUUGGCUAUGGUAGCUAAUAGACUGGGUUUAAUAAUCAUUUUAACAUUUUUUACCUCAAUCCUAAUUGUUCCACUAUCAAAAAUUUUCAUGUUGCUAUAAAACACAGGUACUAAAUCAGGGUAGUAGUGUGCACAAUCACAUGACAAAAUCACCUAAACCCAAAUUUAUCAGCAUGUGGAAAAAUAUAAAAGUUUCAUCGUUAAAAUAAUCUUCAUCAAGCAAUUUUGGUUUAAUAAUGUGACGGUCAGAGAAGAGUGAGUAAUACCUUUCUGGCUCUGCAGAACUUGAAAACAAAAGAUUUGGGCGUUGUUGAGUCGGUGAUAGUGGUGGUGAGGGUAAGGGUGAGCUUUCAUCUGGUGAAGGUUGACAGUGGCGACGUCCCGCACCUGAAGAAGAGGAGCCCCUAACCCUUUGCCUCUUUGAAGAUUCCGCUAUUUUAGAUUCCAAUUGGUGCAAAUUGAAGAGAAUUGAAAAAGGGGAAAAGAAAAUGUUUAAUAGAAGUGAAAGGAGUAGAAGAAGAGGUGAUUUUGAAGCUUUGGAAGGUGCUGCAAUGGAGGAGUUUCGUUGUUCUUCGUUUAGGAAGGGUGGGUGUGCAUGAGGAGAGAGAAAAAGUUGAAUUUAUAGGGGUAGGGUUUCGCUGUAACCGAUUACAGGGUUUCUGUAAUCGAUUACCAUUGGCUCUGGUAAUCGAUUACAAAAACAAUGUAAUCGAUUACCAGAUCCUCUAGUAAUUUAUUACAGAAACCUUGUAAUCGAUUACUAGAAAGUUUUUGGUUAAAAAUACGUUUGUUUGUUAUUUUUGUUUUAGUUUAAAUUAUUGUACAAAUAUAUAAUUAGAGAACUUUAUUUAAAACUUAUAAAUUAUUACGAAACAUUAAAAAAUAAUAUUACAAUCAUCCGACUUAAAGUCUUAAAGAGUCUUAAACAAUUUUAAACAAUAUAAAGAGUGUUAAACAUUAUAAAUUAUGACCAAAAUUAAUAUAUGAAUCUUCUUCUUCUUUCUCCGUGUUCGUCUAUGUAAGUCCAAUCUUUGAGAUCCUCGUAGUGUUCAGCUUGAGUUAGAGGACGAAUAUCUCUUGUUUAGAUGAAAAGUUUAAUAUAUUGAGAAGUGUGUGGACGUAACACCGAUCUGUCAAUAGUUUAUGAUUUUUGCCAUUGUCCAAUCAUCUGUGCAAUAUCGUUAUCACAUUUUAUUGAAGUAGGUUUUCACAAAAGAGAAGAGUUCUCAGGGUUUUAGCAAGAUCAUAGUAGUUUUGAAGAGAGUAUCCUCUCUAGUAAAUAGAUGAGCAAGGAAGUACGGAAUCAGAGUAGUUGCGAAUGAUGAUGGGCAUGUUCUUAUCAAAAAGUGGUGUGUAUGAAGAACUUUCUUAAUCAUGGGUUGGUGGUUUGUGAGGGAUGAGUUUCUUUAAAAUAGUAUUGGUUUUGUUAUAUGAGAAUGAGUUGGGAGUGUUUGGUGAUCUUCAAGAGUCAUAAGUGAGUUUAGGUAUGGAAGAAAUAUGUUUGAGGCAGAGAAGACAAGUGGGACUACAGUUUCAAGAUGCAGUGUCAUCCUUGAAGUAAGAAGGUAUAAAUUGACGUUGAGCAUGGGAACCGUGUCAGUGGAUAAAGGAAAUGAACUGGGAUAAGAUUUCAAGUUGUAGCUUCAAUCUUGAGGUUGGCAAACGUUAGUUGUGGUUGAAAGCUGAAAGAAGAUUCAUUUUUUUUUAGUUUGGUAAGGAUUGAGUGAGAGUUGGUUGAAGAUUAUGAAGAUUGGGGUCUAACGUGAAGUUAUAAAGAUAUUUCAGUAGUAUAGUGAAAACACUAUAACUAGUGGGUUUCUCAAAAUGGUUGAGAAAGGGUAGUUGGGACAAUCAUAGUUUGAGAUGUAUCAUAAGAUGGUUAGGUAUUGAUCAAGCUAGUGAUUCCGAGUAAUGAAGGAUGCAUAUUUGUGCAUGUUCACGAACUAGUAGGUCGAGAAAGGCAAAUGAUUCAGGUUGGCAAGUUAAAGAAAUGAAGAUGGAGAGUUCAAUUUGGUUUUGUCGCUGCAACGAAUGAGAAAGUUCUACUUUGGUUGGAGAACAUAGUUGGAAACUAUGUUAUUCAAGUGUAGAGAUUAGUAAAGCAAUGUAAAAUCCUCAAAAUGAGUGUGUUUAAAAGUGAUCAAGAGUUAUUAUAGUUUGUAGUAACUCGGUAAAUCAGAAGAUUGGGGUCUGAGGUGAAGUUGUAAAGAGAUUUCAGUAGUAUAGUGAAAGCACUAUAAUUAGUGGGUUUCUCAAAAUGGUUGAGAAAGAGUAGUUGGGACAAUCCUAGUUUGAGAUGUAUCAUAAGAUGGUUAGGUAUUGAUCAAGCUAGUGAUUUCGAGUAGUGAAAGAUGCUUAUAUGUGCAUGUUCACGAGCUAGUAGGUCGAGAAAGGUAAAUGAUUCAGGUUGGCAAGUUAAAGAAGUGAAGAUGGAGAGUUCCAUUUGGUUUUGUCGCUACAACGGAUGAGAGAGUUCUACUUUGGUAGUUGGAGAACAUAGUUGGAAACUAUGUUAUUCAAGUGUAGAGAUCAGUAAAGCAAUGUGAAGUCCUCAAAAAGAGUGUGUUUAAAAGUGAUCAAGAGUUAUUAACAGUUUGCAGUAAAUCAGAAGUUGUAAGGAUCAAGUCAGUGGAAUGAUGUUUCUUAAAGGGACCAAUAGAAAGUCAAGAGAUAUCAAUCAGGGGUUGGUAUGAAGUCAAGGAUAGCGAAAGCUUUAGAAGAGGUUCACAAAAAGGCAGUGAAAGUCAGAUGAAGGGUUGGUAGUGUGGCAGAUGCAGUAUGGUUGGUUAUGUGAAAGAAAGAUUCGUAAGAGUUGAAGUUAAAGGUUGAGAUUUGGUGUUGAGGGUAGUGCUUAGACCAAUCUACACUAUUGAACACUAGAGCAUUUUAUCAUAGAGACAAGGUUAUCUUAGUAAAGUUGUUGGGGAGUAGUAUAUUUGUCAAAUAAAUGGUUGUGAAAGAGAAUGGGGAGAGAAUAUCUUCUGUCUAUCUAAUGAGUGAAUUUUUUAGGACGAAAAUUUUUCUUGUUGGGGAGAAUGUAAAACCCCAUAAAAUGGUAUUUUAGAAAUGGUGGUAGUCUAAAAAUAGUUAGACUCGGUUAUUUUAAUAUUAAAGAGUUUUGUUAUAAAUAGUUAUGUUAUAAACGAGUUUCAUUAUUUUAAAACAUGACAUCUCUCUAGAAAUCACUAUUCUAGAGUUCUCUACAUUAUCUCUAAGAGUUAUAACUCCUGAGUCAUCUGUUUGACAAUCAGGAGGUGCCUAGACAAUCACGACGUUAAGGUUUACAAACCUAACCGAUCAAUUUAUAUUUUAGAGCAAGUAAGUUUUUACUCACUUUUACCUUUUUCGCUUCAGUCUAUGAUCAUGCAUGGAACCUGUUUUGCAUGUAUCAUUUAUCUCUCUUUUCUUGUUCUUGGUGGAUUUAGAGUUCUAAGGACUUUGUCUGUUUCCAAUUUGGUGUCUCGUAGGUUUGUCUAGAGAUUUCUUGUGUUUCAAGCGAUCAGUUGAACGUUUCUUUGAUUUGAGUGGUUAUUUGAGGUAAGGGAAGCUAGACCUUGUCUUAAUUUGUGUUUGUGUUAUAAAUUUCGGUAUCUUUAUAAAUUAAAGACAAUUUUGAGAAAUUGGUAUGAUUGUGUGUGCUAUGUAUGUCUCAUGGAUGAUUUUUAAUAGUAUGAUGUUGUGUAUAUUUGGUAUGGUGUGAUUGUGAUGCUUGAUAAUGUCAUGAUUGAAUGUGAUAAUGAUGUUUUAGUGUUGGAAACUAAAUUCGGUGUAGUGGUGAGGUAAAAGGGUUAAAUUCUUGAGUUUUAAGAGUGAGAAGGUAAUUGAUUUAGCAAUUUUUGUGGUUAAUUGGGACUUGUUAAAAGUGUUAGAUGAUUGAAAAUUGAUAUGCAACAAAGAGGGGGAUUCAUAGUUGAAACUUUCAAGUGUUUUUGGUGUAAAAAGAGGGUUUUGAGUAGUAAGAUUUUGAAAUAAGUGGUGUAAACUGUUUUGGAGAGUUUGAAGCAUAUUUUGAGACCAAUUAGGACUUGUCUAGAGGUUCAUAUCAGAAAAAUUUGUCAUAGAAGUGUUAAUUAAUUGCUUCAUAGGAUGAGUUUCUAGUCCAUUUUGGGCGCCUUUUUGCGAGAGGAGCUCCUCUGAGCGCCCUUGGGCGCCCCCUAAGCGCCCUAUUCCAGAGGUUUGGCAUCUAGGCGUCCCUUUUGGGGCGCUGAGUGCCAUUCAGCAAUUUUGGUUUUUUUUUCAGUUUUCAAGAUAUCAAAUUUGGGGUUUCGAGUAUCAGUUUUGGACGUUCUUUAGGUCGUUUUUGGAGGUUUUGGACCCUUUCAGAGAUGUUGGGGAGGGUUUAGAGUUGUUUUCCUUACCUAAAUAUGAGUAUCAAUAUGCCAUGAAGAAAUUGUGUUAUUAUGUGACUUCUGAUUACAUGUAAGGGUAUUUCUAGUUGUUUAAUGUAUAAUCAAAGGUUUCAUGUGAUAGUAUGCAAUGUUUGUGUGAAGUAUAUGUAUGUGCAUAUAUGAUUAUGAAAGGAACAUGAUGAUGAUGAAUAUGUGGUUGAUUAAGUAAAUGGUUGAUGGACGUAAUUCCAUGAUUCUCAUGGAGAGGAUACAUGGUGGUGCCCUACGUUGUUGUUGUGAAUGUAUGGAGCUUUGUAUCGGGAGUUUAUCCUGACGCUCUCAAUAACCCUAACUCAAGUAGAGGUGAUUGGUUAUGUCGUGGAGAGUAGCAAGGAGUCCAGUCUAGGGGGUUUACCUUGGCCAAAGACAUUUUCAAACUAACCUUGUAUGGUAGCUUGGGGUGGGCCAAUUGUAUUACCAUUACAAGUGCAUAAACUACCCUAGUUCGACAUUCAUACUAUAUCCGGAUGAGUUAGUCUAAUGUUGUGAUAUGAUUAUGAUGUAUGUUUAUUAUGUGUGUAAUAUAAAGUAGUGAUGGAAUGUUUAUUGUAUUAUGAUGAACUCUUUUAUCACUAGCUUACCCUUCCUUUUGUGUUGUUUGUUGUGUGUUGUUUUCUCUUUGCCAUGAUCACCUUAAUGGUGUGAGUUUAGAGAUACAAUCUUUUCAGUUGUUCCUAUAAGAGGUGAGGGUGAAGAAGUUGAGAAGUCGAAUGAUUCUACAAGUGUGGAUCUUGUCAUUCAUAGGUUUGUUUUAUUAUAAUUGUUCUAUUAUCUUAUAUGUAAUAUUUCUUUUUAGUAGCAUUUUACCAUUAAAAAUGGGAUGUUAUAGUGAUUAGUUUAAAAAUUAUUUUAAUUAUCAAUAAUUUUUUAAUAUAUAUUUGUGAAUAUUAUCAUAAAAUAUUAUAAAUUUUUUUAAUGAUAUCACGGUAUAUCUGUAAUACUUUAAUAUCACGAAUGCGUGAAUGUACAGUGGAACUUAAAUCAUAUUUUAAUUCAAAGUCUAUUUAAUUUUAAAUGAGAAUAUUUUAGUGUAUUGAUAAUUAUGAUAAAACGUGUUUAAUUUAUAGAAUGAAAGAUUCUCAAAAUACUUAACGGAUCACUACAAAAUAAUUUCCUAUACAUUUCUUACAGCUACUUCGAAACAAUUUUUAAAACGUGAUCAGGUUUAUUCCAGGUUUGUUUGAGUUAUCAGAGGAUUAAGAUGUAACAAAAGUCAAAUUUAUAUUAAUAGGUCCAAAUCAAACAUGACCUUAAAGAAGCACAUUUAACUUUAAGUGACUUUUCUAUAUUUAUAAGGAGUUAUCAUAUUUUUUUUUUACCGUUAUAAAGUAGAAAGAAGUUGUUAUUUAAUAUUUAAAAUCCGUCUUCUAAAUAUAAUGUAAUUGUUAGUGGAUACUAGGAAGAUUUUAUUACUUUAAGAUUUUACUUCAUGUAUGCUAUUAAGAUUUUAUAGCCCGAAAGCAUCUUUAUCCAAAAAAAAAAAAUUGUUAUACUUUGUCUGUUUCUCUAAUAAUUUAAAAAGAAAAUAAUAAGAUGACAUACACUACUACAGAAUUGGCUUUUAACGUUACCCACUAAACAUAUGUUAUAGGUGUUUGCAACGUAAAAUAUUGAUCGGUGGAAAUUUCGUAAAUAAGUUAGACCUAUAGACGUCUGUUACAGUAGGGUCCGACGUCUAUAAUAUUAUAGACGUCGAGACCCCUAGUAACUGACGUCUAUAUGUGUGACAAGUAAGUGAAAAGUCAUUUAUUUCCGCCAUGUAAACGUCAGUGCCCCUCCGGUUGACGCCUAUAGUAUGACAAAUAGGUGAAAAGUUAUUUUUUCUGUCAUCUACAUGUCUGAUCCCGCCACUUGACGUCUAUAUUCGAUUAUAGACGUCAGUAUCUCUCCCGACUGACGUCUAUAUGUCUGAGAGGUAUGUCAAAAUUCAUUUCUUGAUACAUUACUUAUACAUAUAAUAAAGAUAAAAUAAUCAUAAAAAAUAAAUUAGUAAUUGGUUAGUUUUACGAGAUUUGAAAGCCAGGUUCUUUCAUCUAAUAACAAAUUGGAGGAGGACAAAAAAAAACUCGAUUAGAUUAAAGGCUUAAUACCGCUUUUGGUCCCUAGUUCUGGAAGUUUUGUUCAAUAUGAUCCUACCUUUUUUUUAGUAACAAUUGAUCCCACUUUUUGAAAAAACUGUUCAAUUGACUCCUUUUUUGUUACGACGUCAAUUUUCUAAUGGUGUUGGUUACGACGUCAAUAAGUUCUUUCAUGUAUUCACCUAUCCAAAUGUUAUUUUAACAGUCCUGACAUAAUGUUAUGUUAAAAAUCAUGUCAUCAUCGUAUACAAUAAGGACUAUAAUAAACAAUUUAAACUUGAAUAUGGAACCACUAUGAACAAAAAGGACUCAGUUGAACGGUUUUUUCAAAAGGUAGGAUCAAUUGUUAUGGAAAAAAAGAAGGUACGACCAUAUUGAACAAACCCUCCCAAACUAUGGACCAAAAGCGGUAUUAAACCUAGAUUAAAAGACUGAAAAUACAGAGAGAAUGGUGUGAGAAACCUAUAACAGUAGGUUAAGGCAUUUUUUGAGGAAAGAUUUAGAGAGACAACAGAGUUUAAGAUAAAGCUGGAAAUUAUAGAGUUUAAAAGACUGAAAAUACAGAGAGAAUGGUGUGAGAAACCUAUAACAGUAGGUUAAGGCAUUUUUUUGAGGAAAGAUAAAGCUGGAAAUUAGAGUUUAAAUCUAUAUCAAUUAGAGGAUAAUAGGAUGUUAACAAGUGCAUUAUCUGAAAAUGAAAUUAGGAAGGUAUAGGACUCUGAGAGUUGCAAAAAUCUAUAUGUGGAUGGGUUUAAUUUCAAUUUCAUUAACAAGUGUUGGGAAACUUAGUACAAGCAAUUUAUGAUUUUCCUUACACUUUUGGUUUUGGUGGUUAUCAAUUUGGGACUCUACUUUUGAUAAGCAUUCGGUGGCUUAAUUAAGUUACUUUUUCACUUUAGGGCUUUCAUUUUGUCGACGAUCUUUUUUCAGUUUGGGGUUUAAUGUAAUUAUCUGUAAACCUUUAUUCCUUUCACUUAUCCAUUUCUUGAUAUAUUAUUUGUUAGAAUUCCUUAUUUUACUAAUUGUACUUAUUUCAAAGUCAAUAAAUGUAUCGUAAUUAUUAAUAGUUGGUUAUAUUAUUUAUUAAAAUAUUGUGUUUUGUUUUACUUCUUUUAUUAGUAAUAAAGAUAAUAAAAUUGUCUCAAUCCAUGUUAAAAAAAAAGGAAAGAAAAAAUAUGUCUCAUAAUGCGAUUUUCUAUAUCUAAGCAAGAAACUCAUUCAAGCAAAUACUAAUUUAAGAAGUAUAUGUCACUUUACUGACCUAUCAUACAUUCUACUCUUUUCAAAAAAGUCAGAAGAAAUUAAAUUUCUUUGAUGAAAUUUCAAUUUAUGAAAGGUCUAAGAGAGACUGUCAUUAUAUAUAAUUUUCUAAAAUAUCAAACAAGUUACUUCACUAUUUGUGUUUUUCUAUAUUCAACAUUAUAUUAGCAAACAAAGUCUUCAACAGUAUCAUUGAAAAAAAUGAUUUUAACAUUAUUAUGUUGAAAUCAGAAACAACAUUAUUGUACGAAUUGGUAAGGCUUUAAAGAAGUGGAAAAUGAGGCUCUUUUGUGAGGACAAUAACAAUUUUUCAUUAAACAUAGAAUAUAGUUCUAUUUUGGAAGUAACAUAUAUCUUGCACUUCACAACUUUGAUCUUGUAAAGAAACUUUAAUUCACUUUCAUUACCUAAUUCGAUGUAAAUGGUUUAAAUGACGUUAGAUAUAUAUAAACUAAGCAAUUUAUUCCUUACAAUGUGUCCAUUUAUUCCUUUUUUCAAAAUAAUGCUUUUUUAGAUAAAUAUUUUUUAGAUAGAUUCACUAAAACAUUUUUUUUUUCAAGUAGACUCGUUAAUAUAUUUUUUUUUAAAUGGGAAGGAAAAAAAUAAAAUUAAAUUAUGGCAAAGUAAUUUAAAAUAAUUAACUAAAAGUAUUGAGUUUGAAGUUUACCUUUUUUUUUAUAGAAGAAAUAAAAUAAAAGAAUUUACAAUUUUUUUAAUAUAGUUUAUAAUUAAAUUUGUUAUUAUUGAUUUUUGAAAAAAUAAAUUAUACUAGAAAAUAUUCAUGAAAAGUAAUAUUAUAAUAUUAACAACAAUGACAGUAAUGUUUUAAAAUUUUAAAAAUCUUUUAUUUCUUAUUCAUAUUUUUCAAUUAAUAAUUAUAAUAAUAAUAAUAAUAAUAAUAAAUUUUGUUCAAAAUUAUAUUAUAAAAUUAAUAUUACAAAAAUAAAAUUUAUUCAUCCUCAAAUUAUAUUUUAGUUUUCUUUAAUUAAAGUUUAAUUUCAAAAUUUCUAAUUAACUAUUUUAAAUUAUUUUUCUCUAUUUUAAUUUUAAUCUUUACUUUUUUAAUUUAUUUUCUUUUAAAAUAAAAUCCUUCCGAAAUUUGAUCCCGGGAGAGUCAAAUUCUAAAUGCAUUUUCUAACAUCGAACAUAAAAAACAGUUGAGAAUUGCAAUCAGUUCAUUUGGAUAAAUAAUGUUAUGCAUUUGAAGAACGUUUGAAAUUAAAAAAAAAAAAAGAAGACACUAUUAAAAAUAAAAAAAAAAGAUAUCAAUCUUAUAAUGUGAUUUAGAAUAAAAUUUAUUAUAAUAAUAGUUUGUAAAAACAUAAAUUAAAACUAAAACACAACUUUAAAUUUUACAGCAUUGUUAUCAUUGUUGCUAUUAUUAACUAUAACUAUAAAAAAUCCAUAUUUAUUUUACAAAUUUAUAUUUUAAAUAAUUUAUUUAAAGUAAAAUAAUUAUUUUAUUAAUUUAACCACCUUAAAUUUAACUGAUUUUUUUACUUGACCGCUUUUUCUAAAUUUAAUCAUUUUUUAGUUAUAAAACUACCUAUAAAAUAAAUAAAAUCUAAUAACAAAAUUAUAAAAAUUAUUUAUAUUUGAUUUCCAAAUUAUAACAAUAAUAAUAAUAAUAAGAAUAAUAAUAAUAAUUUUAUUAUUUUUUAUUAAUUCAAAAAGGGAAACACAUAUGUGUAGCUUCUUAGAUCAUAAAUACUUUCUAAAAUAAUAACUUAAAAAAAACAAUAAUAACAAAUUUAAUUUUAAAUUAUAUUAAAAAGUUCAAAAAUUAUUUUUAUUUUAUUAUUUUAUCUAAAGUAAUUAAAAUGUAAGCAAAAUAUUUUUAAUUUAUUAUUUUAUAAUAUUGUCCAUAAUUUUAAUAUUUAUUUCUAAUUUGUACUUUUUUUCGUUUUUUCUUCAAUUUAAAAAAUACGAAAAAAAUAAAAAUAGAUCCAUUUCAAGAAAUAAUAUUUCAUUAGGUUUAUUUUAUAAAAUAAUAUUUCAAAAGUCUAUUUAAGAAAUUUUUUAUAAAAAUUAUUAUUUAACAAAGAAAAUCUCAAUUUAGCCAACAUUAGGUAUAAUUAAAUUAUAUAAUUUAUCUGUUAUAGUGUCCGUUUUCUAAUAAUUAAUUUUUUGUUAACAUCUGAUUAAGUAUUCUGUAACUGAUUUGUUUUUAUUUAUAAAAAUUAAUUGUUAUGUUAAAAAUAUUUCAAUUAUCAUUUUCAUAAGUGUGAAAAUAAUUUGAGACAGAAUAUAGAAAGCAAUACAUUUCAAAAUAAUUUGAUCCAUUUGAAUGUAAUUUGUAAGAACAUAGAUAGAUAGGUGCAUUAAAAUAAUGAAAUUGGGUAUUUUAUUAUAAAAUAAUCUUAUAAUAUAAAUUAAAUUUUUUAAGCUCGUUUUAUUAUCUAAAUUAUCUUCUAUCUCUCUAAAACACUAUUAUCUCCAUUUUCUCUCUCUUCUCUUUAACUUUUCUCACUCUUGAAUCAUCUAUUCGAUGAUCAGGAGGUCUCUAGACAAUCCUUGUGUCAAGGGCUACCAAUCUGACCGAUCAAUUGGUCAAAUUGAGCAGGUAAACAGUAAACCUUUUUCUUGGUAUUUAGGGUUCUUGAUUGGGUAAAAUGGUUUUGUUUUGCAUGAAUCAGGAGUCCAUCUUUCUUGAAUCUUAGUUCAUUUAUGGUUCUAAGGUUGGUCUUCAAUCAUUGAUCGGUGAUUUGUAGAUUUUCUAGAGUUUUCUUGCGAUGCAAGCAACUAUUGGGGUGUAAUAGAGCGGUGCAAGUCCUGUUAGGUAAGGAAAGCUAGAGCUUACUUUAUUUUAUGUGACUUGUGUAUAGUUUAAGAAUUUAGAAAUCUUUGACUAGUUGUAUGAGAAUGUCGUCUUAUGAGUAGUGGUAAAGUAUAGCUUGUGUAUUUUGAUUGUAAAUUGUUGAAUGGUGAUUUAAAGUGUUUUGUAUGUUGAUUGGAUUUGUUAUUGGAUGUCUAAUACAUUAGAAAUCUAUAUUAACAUUGGUUGGUUAUGACUAGAUGAUAGUUGUCUUAAUUUCAAGCUAGUUUGGAGGAAGUGGGAUAGUGAAAACUUGAUUUGGGAGUUGAGUGCUUAAUUGGUCAGUUGGGAUAGGUUAGGUAAGUUAUUUAGGACUUGUUAGGGUCCGUAAGUUGCUUAAAAUUGUGCCAAAACUAGUAGAAUGUGCUUUGGGUCCAUAAGUUGAUGAUUUGUAUGUUUUGAAGUUUGAAUUGGUUAGUAAACACCUUAGAAUGAGGUUAGGAAGGUUUAGACACACAAGGUUAAAUUCAAUUGAGUAUAAAACACGAUCUAGGAAGAUUAAAAGUUGGGAAAAUUAUUUGGAAUUGGUAAGUUUGGUGUAGGUUGAGUAAUUCUGGAGUUUUGUGCUGCAGAAUUAUGCAGACUCGUUGAGCGAGUGGAGCCGCUCAGUGAGUAACUGAGAGGUGUGCACACUAACUUUGUGUUCACCUAGUGAUUUAAGUCCUUGAGUGAGAGUUUGGGGUCUGGGAUCACUAGGAGAUUUAUUCUCCUAACGAGCUAUGUCGUUGAGCGAAUGCUUAGAGGGUCUGGACCACUGUUUAGGGGAUUUGCCUAGUGAGUUAUGUCGUUAAGCGAGUGCUUGGAGGGUCUGGACCAAUGUUUGGGGGAUUCGCCUAACGAGCUAGGUCGUUGAGUGAGAGAACUUUGGGGUCGCUUAGCGAGGGAGUUCGUUGAGCGACUGGUUCAAGUUUUUAGUUACUCUUUCUUUCUUGGUCCUUGAUUGAUUUGAAUGAUGUUUAAAUUCUUGAGAAUUGAUAUUUUUUUAUAAUUGAAGCUUGUUUAUUGGACGUAAAUCCAUGACUCAUGGUGAGGUUUCAUGUACUUAGUUGAUGAUGUUGUUGUUGUAUGAAUGUAUGGAGCUUUGAGAUGGUGGUUUAUUCUGACACUCUAAUGAGCAUUCAUUCUCAAGUAGAGAUGAAUUAUUCAUGUGGUAAGAGUAGCGGGAGGUUCUUGUCUACAAGCUUUGAAUCUAGCCCUAGGCAACUGAAAUGAACUAACCUUGUAUGGUGUUGGGUAGUGCCAAUUGUACCAUACAAGUGCACAAACUACCAAUAGUUCGACAUUCAUACCUAAUCUGGAUGAGUCUUAUUAAGUUAUGGGAUGUAUGGAAUGAUUGGUAUGUAUUGUAUCCUCUUGAAUUGAGGGUUUGAUUUGUUUACAUAUUUCUAUAAAUAUGAAAUUUUCUUAUUUAUCUAACUUACCAUUUUGUUUGUUGUUUUGUUUGUAUGUUCUUAUACUAUUUUCUUUGUUAUGAUCAUCUGGUGGGUGUAAGCAAAUGGAGAUGAGAUCUCAAUGGAGCAGGCAUUUGAUGGGGAAGAUCCUGUUAUUUAGUUAGCUUUAGACUAGUUUAAUAUUAAUAUGUGUAUCUGAAUGGUAGAGCUUAGUAUGAAUGAUUGCAUGUUCUAAGACUUGUUUAUAUAAAUGUCUAUAUAUAUUAACAUCUCUAUACAUGUAUGAUUUUCUCUUUUUGGUACAUUAGCUUAUUCUUUCUUUUUUGUCCGUGUCAUCUUUUUGUUUGUAAUAAUUGCUUUAAUGGUGUGAGAAGAUAAAAAUGUUUUAAUUAAUUCAAUGAAAGGUGAUGCAACAACAUAGUUUAGAAUUAGUUUAUGUUCAAGUCUAGGACGGUUACACUAAUUCUGCAUAUCACAUUUCAAAUGACUACAAUAAUGACAAAGGAGGUGGGGAAGCUAUAUUGAGACAUCUGAUGGGAUAGGAAAGUAAAGGAAACAAUUAUUUGGGUGAAAUGAAAAACAGUUUGAACCAAAAAGAUGGAGGAUACAAACAAAGGACAGUAAGAUUUCCAGUGACACUCUUCUAUCUAAAUGGAAAUGGAUGGCCACUAAAAGGACAUGUUUAUGGAAAUAUAUUUUUUUAUUUUAUAUUUUUUGGAUUUCUACAGUAUAAGGCUUAUAUAUUUAUUUUAUUUAAAAUAAUGGGUGUAAAUAGAAAUUUUAGUUAAUGAAACAAGUGGACUUCAGAUAAAGAUUCAACCCGAAAGCCUAAUAUGACCAAGUGGCAACUUCUUUAGUCAACUUCUUCCUGCACCUCCAUACAUUUCUUCUUGUACGUACCUCCAUAUUAUACUCUACUCCAUGAGCGUCCAUCACUCAUUACUUUUUUUAUAUUUUGAUUCUUAGGAGUGAAGUGAUAAAUCCAUUUUUUAUAUUUAUUUUAAAAAUAUCAAGAAGUCUUCAUAAGUAACGUUCAUUUCUUCUUCAUCUAUAUCUCGAUGUUCUACACUUUUUCUAUUUUAAUCUCUUAAUUCAUCUGAUUUCCAUUUUUAAAUUCACAUUUAUCCUUUUAUUCUCGUCAUUCAUGAGUAAAAUUAAGUAAAACUAAUAAGUAGGGUAAUGAAUUUUUUUUUUGGGAAAAGUAUAUAAUUUUAGUUAACUGAUCUAAGCAAAAUUAUUUAAGAUUAUUUUAUCCUUCUCUCUUUCCAACUGAAUUGUUACUGUUACACAUUAAACUUUCAGUGAAAACGCUGACUGAUUACAGCACUUUCAAACUGAUAACAUUUGACAAGGAAUUACUAUGGAUAGAUCUCAAUGAGAUAUCUUAAUCCCAAGACUGGAGUUAUCUUACACUCACUGAAACCAGCAGAGGAAAUCAAUUUCUCCCAUUCCUUCUUGUUUCUCUCUUUUCCAGCGACGAACACCAUCAUUAAAAUAUCAAACAAGAGUUGGGUUUCUACAAAUUCAUCAUCAUAAUCUUUCUUUUCAUCAUCCAUCACCGUCUCUAUGAUUAUCACCUUCCCUUUCUUGCCUUCCUUUCUGAUUGCUUCCUUGCACUUCUUCAGUAUCUUCAUGCAUUCCUCAUCACUCCAGUCAUGCAUUAUCCACUGCUUUCUCAUUCAAACCAACACAUUCAGUAUAUACAAAUAAAAGUUCAAAACUGAAGACAUUUAGAAAGCCAUUUCAAUUACUUAUAAGGUUAAUAAUAAACUAAGAAUAAGGUGAUAUCUUCUUCCAUUCUUUUCCAAUUGAUUUCUUCUUUCUGUGAAACUCUCAAUACCCAUUAUACAUUAUACAUUAUUUGUUGUGUUACCUUCAACAGAAUGGCAUCAGCUGGAGGAAUAGCAUCAAACAUGUCCCCUCCAACGUAUUUUAGGUUUUCAGUACCUCGCAAGCCAGCAACAACAUGUGGGAGAUCUAAUACAAUGCAUUGCAUCUUUGGGAAUGAUUUCGCAAUGGCCUUUGCCAUGGUCCCUGUGCCUCCUCCAACAUCAACCAAUGACUCCAAUCCUGUGAACGUUCCCUUGCACUUCUCAAUCAUCAAACUAGAGAUCAAUCGAGCGUCAUUCUCCAUGGCAUCAUUGAAUAAGUGAUUAACUUUCCUGUCACGGCCAGCAUAAUCCCAAAACGACAUCCCGUGUGCAGUUUCAAAGGGUGUAAGAUCACCACUUUUGAACCAAUCAGAAAGCUGAUGCCAUGGCUUUGUCAUAAAUGGAUCAAGGGAGACCUGCAUGAAGGGUAUCAGACUCAAGGGAUGGUUUUUAAGAAGUAGUACGGAUGCAUCAGUUAGCACAUACUUCACUUCUAACUCAUUCUGGGUGACAUUUUGUUGAGAGAAAAAGCCAGAAUGAACCAUGAUUCGCAUCAAGCGAUGGAUGAAUAAGGUUUUCGAUGGAUGGAUUGGUAGCGAAGCAAUGAGGUUUGAAAGUGGCAUGGGUUGGCCAUAGUUAUGUAUGACAUCUGGUAUGCCUAAGUCAACUACGCAUUUAAGGGACAUUGAGUUUAUAAAGCCCAGAAUGUUCUUCCAUACGUGUACUUGAGCUCUAACCACUUUGUCACCAAGCUCAUCAUCGUGAGAGUUCAUAAUGUAUGGUUAUAUUUGGAUGUAUGGCUCUUAACAUUAUUUCAAUGUAUUUAUACGCAACCACAUGGCGACAGUAAAAUCCUGUCGGUGGUUUUAUCUCUUGUAUUUUUUUUAUUUAUUUUUACAAUUAUUAUUAUUUUGGGAAAAAAAAAUCUGUAUUCCCAUAUUUAUUUGUAUAUUUAAAUGAGUUUUUAAUUAAGCAAGCGAAAAAAAGUUCUGAGGCACCGCAUGCACCGCACCGUAUACCGCUUGCCGAAACCACCGUUUAAGCAUGGUUUUUAAUUAAUAUAUAUGAUUGUUUUCAAUUCCCUUCUAGAAAACAGUUUUCUUUUUUUUGAAAAAUGUUGUACAAUGUAAAAUAAUUUAUCAGUGCUUGUUAAUAAACAAACUUUCUGUGGAUUUUGAAGUGUAACAUAGUUUGGAUACAUAACUUGUUUAUUAAUAUUUUAUUGAAUAAAUCCGUAAUCUGAAAUUGUAAAAGAAAAUUUUCUUUCUCUUUUUUUUGCUGCAUAUAGUGUGUGGAAUUAAAAGUUGUUCCUUCUCACUACAAGAAAAAUCGCAAUUAUAUACGGCCAAAAUUCGUAUAUAAUUUCAAAAAUCCGUAUAUAAAAUGGUGUUAUAUACGGAUUACAUACGGCCAAAAAUCCGUAUAUAAUUCGGUCGUAGGUAAGUUUAUAUACGGAUAUAUCCGUAUAUAAAUUAUAUACAGAUAAUCCGUAUAUAACUUAUAUGCGGAUAAUCCGUAUAUAACUUAUAUACGGAUUAUCCGUAUAUAACUAUAUACGAAAAAAUCCGUAUAUAAAAUCCGUAUAUAAUUAUAUACGGAUAAAUCCGUAUGUAAGUUUAUGGCUUUAUAAAAAAAAUUAAAUAAUCUCAUAUCUACCUCCAAUAAUUAAAAAUUUUAUAUAUUUGAUAAGUGUCAAAUACAACUGGUAAAUUAACAAAACAUAGUAUCAAAUUGUUAAAUAAUAAGAUCUAAUUAUCUUUUACAUAGUAGUAAAGUAAUCUAUUUAUACACUUGGCUAUCUGUGAAAAACUGUCAAAGAAUUGCUGCACUAAUGUUUAAAGUUUCACCAACUAACCAUUUAUCAUCAAAGUGGUGGCUCUAAACCACAUACCGAAGAUCUCGCGUCUUUCAAUGUGGGAUGUGUGAAUUUUUACUUUAUUCAAUCGUGAUGGAAGAUCGUGUACAAGUGUUUCUCUAAUAGAAAAGAAAUUAUAAGAUAAUAAGUAGAUAUUAACAAGCUUACAAACUCUAACAAACAAAGCAGUAACUCUUUAUUAUUCAAAAGUUAACUUCAAGAAAUUUAAGUUAUCCUUAUGUAAAAACGACUUUUUAUAUUAGUUGGCUUAAAUGUUUAAUUUGUCCCUAAGUUAAGGUCUAAAUUUUUGUUUUGUAUUCGAUUUUAUUUUGUUCUCAUAUUAAGAAUUUUGUAAGAAUUAAGUUUCUUUCGCUAAAUUGAAAGUAACAACCUUAAUUUCAUCUAAUGUAGAACACUUUUUCUCCUCUCUACUCUGCAUUUUCUGACUCAACUUUUUCUCUCUUCUCUCCCUUCUCUCUCUUCUCUCUUCUCAUUCCACCACCCAACAUUGCAGAGGUUUGAAUUGGCAGCGCCGACCUACCACUCCAAUUUCUUUCUUCGUUCACCAGAGCCACAACACAAAAAGAUCUGAUGAGUCAAAAUCUGAGUCACCGUCCAAUUCCGACUUGGACCGACGCAAUCGUAGCAGUAGCCGCCGGUCUAGGUGUGACUCAGACCGACGCCAUCGUAGCAGGGCCUAAUCGAAGGCUAUGAAAGUGGCAAAAAAGUUGAAAACCAGUACGGUGUCAGGCUAUUCCGACUAUUCGAAUAUGUUUGGUGACUCCAAUCUCAAUGAGAAGUUUGUUUGGCGCAAGAAGAUUGAAUGCGAUGUUUCUCAAGGUGUGUCUAUUGAUAUGUUUUCUGUUAAGGCCGAGAAAAAAAGACAGAUAGAAAGGAUGGCAUAAAUUGAAAAAGUGAAAAAGAGAAGAGAGGAAAGGGCACUCGAGAAAGCUCGGCAUGAGGAAGAAAUGGCAUUGUUAACUAGAGAACGUGCUCGAACUGAGUUUCAAGACUGGAAAAAAAAAAAAGAGUUCCAUUUUGAUCAAGCAAAGUUAGGUCAGAAAUUAGAUUGCGUGAAGGGCGUACCAGACCAAUUGAUGUCCUAACCAAGCAUCUCAACGUCUUUGAUGAUUUGGAUAUAGAAAUAAAUGAAACAUAUAUGGUCUUCAAGGGUUUGACUGUAAACGAAAUGAAUGAGCUACGUGAUGACAUCAAAAUGCAUCUGGACCUUGACAGGGCAACACCAACUCAUGUAGAAUAUUGGGAGGCACUCCUUCUGGUGUGUGAUUGGGAGCUAGCAGAAGUGUGAAAAAACGAAGCGUUUAACCGAGCAAGAGUUCGAGGAGAAGAACCUCCUGCUGAGCUGCUUGCAAAAGAAAGGGGAUUGCAUUCUAGUGUUGAGCCAGAUGUAAAAUGGCUUUUGCAAAGGAAGACACGUACAAAAUUGUUGGAAGUCCCACGUCGACUAGAGAUAAGGCCAAAUUAUAACAUAUAAGUGGAGUGCAGACCUCACCUUAUAAAUCGAUUUUGUGAGAUUGAGUUAAACUUAAAACCCACUUCUAACAAACCCACUUCUAACAAAAAUUAGAGGCUUUACAGAUUCACAUUCAAUCAAAAAUGCAUUUUGGUACAACAAAGGUGGUUGAAUACUGGAAGGCCAUAAAAAAAGUUUAUGAGAGAGAGGAAAAAGUGCUCCACUCUUAGACAUAACAGAUACACCAGUUGAUUGGUAGAACAUAUAUGGAAAAAAAUUACUUUGACACGGUUUUUUAAAAAAAAUAUUUAUAUGACAUGGUAGAUCCCAUUAGGUGGAUUCCAUUUUCUUUUCAUAUUUAUUAAGAAUGAAAAAGUAAUAUUGAAAGAAAAAAUUAAACAUUGAAUGUUUUCGUCACUUGGACACCUCAAAUGUAUCACUGUCCAACAUGUAUAAAAACUUGACAAACCGAAUUUUUGCAUUUAAACCUAAAAGUGAAUAGCAGAAAAGACUUGAAGUGGCUGCUAACAUGUUAAGUACAUUUUUUCUCUUUUCUAUUUCAGAGGAGGCAGAGUAUCAUCACAGGCUCAAGAAAUUUUUUCAGACGCCUACUGAAAUAAUGGAGGUGUUUAAGUUUCUGGUUUUUUCGAAGGAUACCCCAUACCAACUGUUUGAUGGUGCCACUAAGACCACGGUUAGUCACUCUUUGAACCAAAUUUCUACAAAGUUUGGGCAAUCAUUUACCACUCAAUAAUAACUGCAAAAGUUAUGAUUUUUAAACAUCGUACCGAUUUAAAUUUUUUAACUUUUAAUCCACAAUUAACAGUUUCAUUUCAUAUUUUUUGGGUGAACAGUAAUUGGUGUGUUAUCUUUUUAAAUAAUCCCAAAUACUUUGGGUACGUAUUUAUUCUAAAAAUAUAUACUUUUGGGUACGUAUUUAUUCUGAAAAUAUAUACUUUAAUAUCCUGGGUCUCCAAAAAAAUAUGAAUUAGUGUGUGUAUCUGUAUGCAUUUAAUAAGCAAUUAACUAAAGCAUUACGAAAAUAUUUGCUCCAAAAAGGAAACAUAUGGGGACAUGAAGACAAUAGUGAGAACCGUCACAUUCAUAGCAUCUCAAACCAUUCCGAGCGGAGGACUGACUCGGCUGAACGGAAAGCUGAGAAGAUCCUCCAGAAUUACGAGAAGAAGAAGAUCUGAAGUAUGGUGUCUUCUUAGAACUAGACCCGCCUCUAGACAUGGUUGAUCCCCCAACCCUCAGUGGAUGGGCCUAAUGGCUCGGGUAUCCCUCAGCUUCUCUCUUUGUCUUCUCCAUAUCUCUAGCCAUCUCUACUAAAGCUGAAUGUAGAAUUUGAACCUGACGGCAUUAAGUGCUGUAAAUUGGUGAUAUCAAGUGACAUCUUUGAAAGAAUUAUAGCAGGACAACUAGUAGACCCUGAGCUUCAGAAGACAAGGGCUUUAAUUGGUACAGAACAAGGAAAAGAUUUUAAUACUGGAACAGACGGUCUUCUACGAUUCAGAAGUAGAACCUGUGUACCAAAUGAUGGAGAGCUGAAGAAAUUGAUAUUGGAAGAAGGUCACCGGAGUCGCUUUAGCAUGCAUCCAGGCAUGACUAAAAUGUACCAAGACCUUAAGAGAUCAUUUUGGUGGUCGGGUAUGAAAGGUGAUGUAGCUCGGUUUGUUUCUUCUUGCCUUACUUGUCAGAAGGCUAAGAUAGAACACCAGAGAUCAAGUGGUAUGUUACAACAACCUGAUGUUCCUGAGUGGAAAUGGGAUAGCAUUGCGAUGGACUUCGUAACCCAUUUGCCACACACUGUCAGAAAACAUGAUGCCAUAUGGGUAAUAGUUGAUAGAUUGACCAAGAGUGCUCACUUCUUGGCAAUUAAUUUGAAGAUGUCUCUGCAAAAGUUAGCUCAGUUGUACAUCAAGGAGAUAUUUAGAUUGCAUGGUGUGCCUUCCAGUAUUAUAUUUGACAGAGACACGCGCUUCACAUCUCGCUUCUGGCAAACUUUACAAAGUGAGAUGGACAGUAGACUCCAGAUGAGUUCUGCUUACCAUCCCCAGACUGAUGGUCAAUCAGAGCGGACUAUACAAUCAUUGGAGGAUCUGCUUAGGACGUGUGUACUUGAUCAUCUGGGAGUCUGGGAUGAAGUACUGCCACUGGUGGAGUUCACAUAUAACAACAACUUUCAGACCAGUAUUGGAAUGGUGUCGUUCGAAGCUCUUUAUGGGAGGCGCUGCAGGACACCUUUAUGCUGGUUCCAGGAUGGAGAGUUUGUGUUGACUGGGCCAAAGAUAAUGCAACAAACGACUGAGAAGGUGAGAGUGAUUCAAGAGAGGAUGAGAGCUUCACAGAGUAGGCAAAAAUCAUAUGCUGACAGGAGACGCCGACCUUUGGAGUUUAAGGCGGUGACCAUGUAUUUCUUCGUGCGACACCUACUACUGGAGUAGGAAAGGCCAUCCGUGCUAAGAAGCUUUCUCCCAGAUACCUUGGGCCAUAUCAUAUUUCUAAACGCAUCGGUCCAGUCGCAUAUGAGAUAGUUAUGCCGCCUCAGCUAGCUAAUCUCCAUCCAGUCUUUCAUGUUUCUCAGCUUCGAAAGUAUGUCCCCUACCCUUCUCACGUGUUGGAAGCUGAUACUGUACAAGUCAAGGAAGAUCUCUCUAUAGAGAUGCAGUCGGUCAAAGUGGAUGAGAGGCUAACCAAACAACCAGACGGGAAAGCUACUACACUGAUCAAAGUUUUAUGGGAUAGCAGAACCGACAAUUCUACCUAGGAGAAGGAGGAAGAGAUGAAGAAGUCAUAUCCCCACUUGUUUUCUAGUAAGUCCUAAUUUUCGAGGACGAAAAUUUUGUUGUUGGGGAGAAUGUAAGGCCUUGAAAAAUAUAACAAAAAGUGUGUACAGUGGCAGCAUAGGAUAGGUUGGACAAUGUUAGUAAAGUAAAAUACUUAACCUUCUAAGUCCCACCUCUAAAUUGUGCUUCUGAAGAACUUUCCCCUUUUCUUUCAAGCACUCUCUCUUUUCUUCUUUGCCUUACCACUCCUCUCCAUCUCAACUCAGAUUCUAACCAUUGGUUUCUUAAAUUGAAGCUAUCUAGACCUUUGGGACUUCAAGAUCAACACUUUCAACCGAUCAUUUUCUCCUUUCCUUCAACUGGUAAGAAAACCCUUUUUCUCGUUUGCCCUAGGGUUGUAAGCAUGCAAUUAAACUUGUUGCAUGCAACCCAUUUCAUUUCCUUCCAUAAUCUAGCUUCUAUUUGGUUCUAAAAUUCAUUCUCCAUCAUCAAUUGAUGAUUUAUAAGUGAUUCUAACAUUUUGAGAGUACAAGCGGGUGGUUUAGGGUUCCUUCUUAAGCUUGGCUACCCACACUAGAGGUAAGUGAAGCUAGUUCUAUUUCUUAUUUCAUUGCGUGAUGUGAAUGAAUGACAAACUUUGUAGUGGUAUGGUGUGGAAGCAUGAAUUUGAUUCUAGUUAACUUGAAAUGCAUGUAUAGAGGUGUUUAACAUGUGACUUUGGUGAUUGAUGACUACAAGCUGUUUUGGAAUGAUUUGGAAUGCUGAAAUUGUGUAUGUUGGAACUGUUUUGUAUGAAAAUUUUGUGGUAGUGCUGUUAGAAAGGAAAUCAAGUGUCUUAGGAUCAAUUUUAGGUCAUUUUAGAGGAAGUGAGGUAGUGAUUUUGAGCAAACGGGGUCUGCAGUGUUAUUGGACUGUUGGGGCAGUUUUAUCCACUGUAUUGUGACUUGUUUGAGUCACUAAAUUGGUCAAAAUAGGUGCAAAGAGGGUAAGAUUAGGUUUUGGGUCUCUAAGUUGGAAAAAUUGGUGUUUUAGAGUUAGAAUGAAGUGUAAAUUGCUUUAGAAAGGUAAUGGAGAUUGUUGUAAUUAGAGAAGAUUUCUUUAGAAUCUUCCUAAUUAGAGAAAAUAGAUAUACAAUCUUUUAUUUUCUUUUGUUUUUCUAGUUUCUCUAUUUCCCUAUUUAGGAGAAUUAGAUUGUUACAAAUAGAGGAUAUGAGAAUGUAUUUUCAAUCAAUUCUAAAUAAUAAAUUUCAAUAUUAUUUUCUACUUGGUAUCAAGAGCUUCCGAUCUUGGAACUCCAUUCCGUUUCACCGUCGCACCACCGCCGUCACUAGUUGGGGUCGUUGAUAGGGUAGAAAGGUGCGCCUAACUCCGACGACCACAACACUGGAAGUCGCUCCGUCAGAGGAGCCGCCAUGCACCUCCACCGUCGCCGGCGCGUGUAGCCCACGCGCCUACCUCCGGCGAGACCCACUCGCCAGCGCCACCACAGACAGGGUCGUCGGAGUGCCUUGAGUCCAUUCCUAGGGUCGGUGACGACUCGUUUGGGCUGUAUUUGAGCAGAUCUGAGUUUUAAGUUUUGCUCCUCUUUUUUCUAGCAAGACCCACUGGCCAUCACCACCACAGAAGAGUCGCCGGAGACUCCUGAGUCUGUUCCUAGGGUUUGUGACAACUCGUUUGACCUUUUCUUGAGUAGAUCUGGUUGUUUAAGUUCUGCUCCUUUUUUCUCGGUGUGACCCAUACACCGUCAUCGUCUUGAAGACUCCCUCGUUGCGUUCUACGGGAUAUCUGAAGUAAAUAUUAUUCCUUUAAAAGCAAUGGAUGAAUCAAUGAGUAAGUCCUCUGGAUCAUGCACUUUGUCCAUAAAAGGUAAGAUUUGCCUCAAUACUGUUGAUCAUGUGUCUCAAGGUAUUUGGAUCCUUGAUUCAGGUGCAACUAAUCAUAUGACACCUUUUAGUGUGUCCUUCGACUUAUAUGGUAAAAGAAAUAAAGAACAACUUAUUACAGUUGCGAAUGGUCAGGGUAUACCUAUAUGCGGCUCUGGGAAUAUAAUUUUGGACUCAUCUAUUGUAUUGAAGGAUGUUUUACAUGUUCCUUAAUUAGCUAACAAUCUUAUCUUUGUGCAAAAGCUCACAAAGGAUUUAAAUUGCUCAGUAACAUUUUUUUCAACUUAUUGUGUUUUUCAGGACCUUGCCACGGGGAAGACAAUUUUAACUCCUAAGAAGCAUAGUCGGUUAUAUUUUUUAGGUUUAAUCAUUUAGAUUGUCCCUAUUUAUGUUGGGUUUUCUCAAUUAGGUCUCAGUCUUUUAAAACGUCUCAAUUAAGUCCCUGUUUUUGCAAAAUUGAAUCAAUUAAGGGUUUGCCGUUAACUUUGGUGGACGACGUUAAAAUUGAGUGUGUGUGGCAUCCAAGCUUUGCUGAGGUGGCAGUUUAUACUGAUCUGAGUUGGUAUUCUCACAUUUUUUAAUUAAAUUUCAUUGAAAAUAAGUCAUGCACACAAAACGCAACAUUUUAAUGACAGAUUUCUGCCUAAAUUGGAAUAAAGUGGAACGAUUUGACUUUGUGCGAAAUUGGGGAUUUUGUGAAAAUAGGGUUUGUAUCGAGCAAAGAAAUUGAGUGUUUGGUGCAAAAUUUGGUGUACGUGGUGAUCAAGUACGGAUCGAGUAAAGAUUUUGGAUUGAUUUGUCAGUUUGAAAUCGGUGAAAUCAGGAAAGUUUAGGCGUUUGUCUAUUAGCGGUGGUUCGAUCACUGGUUGUCGUUUGUCUAUUAGGGCGAGUACCCUUCUCACCAAUUGAUUCUUCCACUAUGUCAAGGAAAUUGGAAAAUGAUCAGACAGUGACACCAGCAGAAAAGGAAGCGCUUCAGGAGCUCGGAGGGGAUUCAGGGGCAAUACUUGCAGCGGAGAUAACUUUAAGGUCAAUGGCAAAUGAUAACGGUGGUGUUGAAGUUGAGGAAUUUGUGGUUAGUGGCAAGGCUAGGAUUAUGGUUUUAAAUAUAAAUAGGACUAGACUUUUGAGAAUUGUUAGAAAGUGCACAGUAUCAACGGCUUGAAUCAAAUUUUGGAGAUGGGAAUGUAAAUCAAAAUAAAGUUCAACAAAUCACUAACAGUGGUACUAAUGUGAAUGGUAGUUUGCUUGGGAUGGGAAGGCCAAUUCUAAGACCAAUGUCUGAAAUGUGGAUACCCCAUGGGGAUCCUCAUAUGUCAGGAUUGCAGGCAAUGUUUCCAGGUGCACCAAGGGGGGCACCCAGGGUAAUGGGCAUGAUGGGGACACCUAUUCUCCUCCAACACCAACCUUGCUCUUCUGAGGCACAUCUAUUCUCCUCUUCCAAUUUAGGGUUUUAAAUCCCUUCUGAAUUUUCAAUUUCUCCCAAAAUCCUCAAUUUCGCACAAAGUCAAAUUGAUUUAGGUAGAAAUCAGUUAUUGAAAUGUUGCGUUUUGUGUGCAUGAAUUAUUUCCAAUGAAAUUUAAUUAAAAAAUGUGAGAAAACCAACUCAGCUCAGCAUAAACUGCCACUUCAGCAAAGCCUGGAUGCCACGCACACUCAAUUUUAACGCCGUCCAUCAAAGUUAAUGGCAAACCCUUAAUUGAUUCAAUUUUGCAAAAAUAGGGACUUAAUUGAGACAUUUUAAAAAACUGGGACCUAAUUGAGAAAACCUAAAUAGGGACAAUCUAAAUGAUUAAACCUAUUUUUUAAAGUUUGAUGACCAAAGCAACACGAAAAUCAUGAGUCAACAAGCAACAUCUGAGACGUGGGAAAAAUCCCAAAUAUGGUUACAUCAUCAAAGGCUUGGACAUCCUUCAUUCAGUCUUAUCAAGUCCUUAUUUCCCCACUUGUUUAUCAAAGAAUCUGUUGAGUCUUUUAAUUGUGAUAUUUGUCAAUUUUCAAAACACCAUUGAUCAUCUUAUCCUAUUAGUCAUAAAAAGAGUAUUUUUCCAUUUGAUUUAAUUCAUAUUGAUGUUUGGGGUCCUGUCAUAGAUUCUAUUUCUGGAGCCAGAUGGUUUGUUACCUUUAUUGACGAUUGUACCCGUGUCACAUGGACAUACCUUAUGAAAAAUAAAUCCGAAGUUUUUCAAAUUUUUGUUAACUUUUUCCAUCUUGUCCAAAAUCAAUUUGGAAAAAAUAUCAAAAGAAUUAGGUCUGAAAAUGGUACUGAAUAUGUGAAUCAUGAAUUUCUCAAUUUUUUGUCUCAUAAUGGUAUUGUUCAUGAACUAACCUGUGUUAAUACCCCUCAACAAAAUAGGGUUGCAAAAAGAAAGAAUCGUCAUCUUCUUAAAGUAACUAGAGCUCUUUCUUUUACAAAUGUUUGUAUCCAAGCAGGACGCCCCCCCACUGUUGGGGGAAGGUUCGGCACACACAUAGAUCUCCACACAUGGUAAGACAUUGUCCGCUUUGGGCCAAGCCCUCACGGUUUUGCUUUUGGCACCACUCCAAAAGGCCUCUUACCAUUGGAGGUAUCUAUGUGUAUAUAAACCCUUGAUCAGCCCUUCUUUUACUCGAUGUGGGACUUUGUUUGCACUCUAACAUCCUCCCUCAAACAAAGGACUAUAGUCUUCUUCCUCCCCCGCUGCGGAAGUCUUUUCAUCCCAUUUCUCUUUUGUCCUCUUUCACGAUCCAUGGUCACACUGAGCAUUUCUCUUGCUCUCCCCACCUCUCAUGAUUCGUCCGACGAUCCGCCACUAGCCUCUUGCCUGGCUCACCUGAUCAUGGGGGCGUACUCGUCUGAGCCCGGUCACCAGACCCGAAUCAUGGGCUCUGAUACAACUGUUGGGGGAAGGUUCGACACACACAUAGAUCUCCACACAUGGUAACACAUUGUCCACUUUGGGCCAAGUCCUCACGGUUUUGCUUUUGGCACCAUUCCAAAAGGCCUUUUACCAUUGGAGGUAUCUAUGUAUAUAUAAACCCUUGACCAACCUUUCGUUUACUCGAUGUGGGAUUUGUUUGCACUCCAACAAAGAUGUUUAGAAUCAUUGAGAUAAUUUUAAUUGUAUCUAAAACAAGAAUUAAAGGUGUUAGAAGUUGGUAAAAAUCGUUAGAAAUGGUCAUAUAGGGUGUUGUCCUGAUUCUGCAUAAUUCUGCAGAAUUUGGCCGUUCGGUCUUGUGGGUCUCGAUCAGAGAAGGAUCGGUCCUUCUCAUGACUGUUUGGUCUUGUGGGUCUCGGUCAGAGAAGGAUUGGUCCUUCUCAUUGUCGUUCGGUCUUGUAGGUCUUGGUCAGAGAAGGAUUGGUCCUUCUCAUGACCGUUCGGUCUUCUAGGUCUCGGUCAAAGAAGGAUUGGUCCUUCUCAUGACCGUUCGGUCUUGUGGGUCUCGGUCAGAGAAGGAUUGAUCAUUCUCAUGACCGUUCGGUCUUGUGGGUCUCGGUCAGAGAAGGAUUNNNNNNNNNNNNNNNNNNNNUCUCAUGACCGUUCGGUCUUGUGGGUCUCGGUCAGAGAAGGAUUGAUCAUUCUCAUGACCGUUCGGUCUUGUGGGUCUCGGUCAGAGAAGGAUUGGUCCUUCUCAUGACCGUUUGGUCUUGUGGGUCUCGGUCAGAGAAGGACUAGUCCUUCUCAUGACCGUUCGGUCUUGUGGGUCUCGAUCAGAGAAGGAUUAGUUCUUCUCAUGGUCGUUCGGUCUUGUGUUACUCUCGGUCAUAAAUGGGUUGCCCCACUUGAGUCUUGCCAGUUGAAACCGUUCGGUCUGAAUCUCUGUCGGCCUUGUAAUGUUCUCGACCUUGUGUGCUCUCGGUCUAGUAUUUCUCUCAGUCUAGUAUUGCUCUCGGUUUAGUUAUUCUCUCAGUCAGAACAGGGUUGUUGGUUCCUCUUGAGCCUUAACUAUUCAUGACCGUUCGGUCUAUCAAAGAGUGCUCGGUCUGACACUCGGUCCAUUCCCAAUGGUCGGCCAAUGCACUAAGUGCUCGGCUCAUGCUUAAAACGUUCGGUUCAAGCUGUCUAGUUAAUUAAUUAUGGUAAAUUAAGGGUGUAUUGAUUUUAUUGCAAAGUAAGAAUGGUUGAUGUUGUAUGAUGUGUAUAUGACUUAAUAUGGCAUUGGAGGUACAUUAUUGAUUCAAGAGGUGUAUCAUGUGAUUUAAAGUGGUCGGAUUGGUUUUGAAAUUACGAUCUCUCGGUGAGAUCAGUUAGUGUAUUGAAUGAAUGUGAGAGGCUUCCAUAUGGGGGAUUAUCCCUAACACUCCAACGGUCUUUCAUUCUCACUUAGAGAGGAUUGACGCGUGUGGUGGGAGUAGUGGGAGGUCCUAGGGUAGGCGCUCUCACUAGAGGUCUAUUCCGCGGUAACGGACUAGCCUUGUGUGUGGUCGGGUGGAACCCCUCGGCAAUGGCUUUGCAAAGCAGUAGAGGCCACCACAAGUGCACAACCCGCCCCAGCUCUACAUANNNNNNNNNNNNNNNNNNNNNNNNNNNNNNNNNNNNNNNNNNNNNNNNNNNNNNNNNNNNNNNNNNNNNNNNNNNNNNNNNNNNNNNNNNNNNNNNNNNNNNNNNNNNNNNNNNNNNNNNNNNNNNNNNNNNNNNNNNNNNNNNNNNNNNNNNNNNNNNNNNNNNNNNNNNNNNNNNNNNNNNNNNNNNNNNNNNNNNNNNNNNNNNNNNNNNNNNNNNNNNNNNNNNNNNNNNNNNNNNNNNNNNNNNNNNNNNNNNNNNNNNNNNNNNNNNNNNNNNNNNNNNNNNNNNNNNNNNNNNNNNNNNNNNNNNNNNNNNNNNNNNNNNNNNNNNNNNNNNNNNNNNNNNNNNNNNNNNNNNNNNNNNNNNNCCAAUUUUCCUUUAAUUUAAUUCUCUUUAAAUCAGUCAUAAAAGAGAUCAAAAACUGCUCAAUAACUGCUCCUGGAAACUUUCACAGCCCAUGGAAAACUCCCCACUCUGCCUGUGUUCUUCUCUGUUCCUCUUGCCAAAUCCUGACGUGAAUCCACAGGUUGUGGUAGAAACCACAACUCACUUGUGAAGCUCUCUAUUUUGCCACUGCAUUUUGAAGCAAACUCCACAGGUUAUGGAACUGUCCCCAGCUGCGUUGUUGAACUCUCUGGAUUCAUCUUUCUAUCUUGUCCAUCAAUUCUUCCAAAAAUGUGGUUUAGGCACUUAGAAUCACCAAUCUACACAGAAAAAACACAAAAUGCCAAUGUAUGAUCCGAAACAAAGAUAAUCCAUGACUAAAUCCUUAAAUCAAUACAAUUAUGUAUGCAAAUGACCUAAACUAAGAUAUGAAUGCAAUUACAUUUUACUCACACAUCAGAUGACUUGCAUGUUUAUGUGUGUAUGGACGUUCUUGGAAAUGCUAAAUUGAAUUGAAAUGAAUUGUAUGUUUGUUUGAGACCUAGCUCACCCUUGGAUUAUAUGGUUGUAUGUGUUUGUCUUCUUCCUUGCAAUGAUCAUCCAAUCCUUUGGAUGUGAGAGUUGGUAUCAAAAUAUAUUGUAGGUUUAUUUGGUAUCCCUAAUAAAAAAUAGUUUAAAACAUAUAUGUUUAAUGUAUUAAAAUAAAAUUAUUUAAUUUUACAUUUAUUAAUUUCAUAUUACGUAACCUUUCUUAGACCUCCUAUGAAGAUGAGGUUGAUGUUCAAUUUUUUCUUUCACGUUCCUCUUUCGAUAAUUUUCUGCUCUCUAUAUAAUCUUUUAUAUUAUUUUCCUUUCAUAAUUUGAUAACUUGUGUUUGAGCAAGUCCCACUAUCAGUUACCUCAAAACUUCUAUCAAUUAUAAAGACAAUCCUUUUUCAUAAUUAAAUCACUCAGAUUUAUUAAAUCAAUAAUUGUUUAUUCAUCAUACCAUCAGAAACUAUCUUUUUCACCUGAAACAAUUCUCACAAACUUAAUUCUUGAAAUUUCAAAUAUAGCUUCAUCUUGUUGAGUGACUAUGGAUAGAUCUGAAUGAUAGACCUUAUGCCCAAAACGGGACUUAUGUCGUAGUUAUUGAAACCAGCAGAGGAAAACAGCUUAACCCACUCUUUUUUGUUUCUCUCUUUUCCGUUGACCAUCACCAUCAACAUGUCAAAGAACAGUUGUGUUUCAACAUAUUCUUCUUCUUUCACUUCAUUAUCCAUCACCAUCUCUAUGAUUAUCACCUUUCCUUCUUUCCCUUUCUUAGAUAUAGCUUCCUUGCAUUUCUUCAAUAUUCUCACACACUCCUCAUCGUUCCAGUUAUGUAAUGUACCCUGUUUUCUCAUCCAAAAAGUAGAAGGAAUUCAGCUGUUUAGAAUAAGCAUCUCAGGUAAUAUAAUUAAUAUAGUAGGGCCACUUAUUAUAAGUCAGAUAACCAAGUUGAAUCUGCACACCUAACAUUAACUUAAUUAGUUCUAUUUAUUAAUUAGAAAAAGACUCAACCAUGCUGUACCUUCAACAAAAUGGCAUUUGUUGGAGGAAUCUCCUGAAACAUGUCCCCUCCAACAUAUCUAAGGUUGUCACUUCCUUGCAAGCCAGAAACAACACGUGGAAGAUCAAAUACGAUGCAUUCCAAUUGAGGGAAGGAUUCAGCAAUGGCCUUUCCCAUGGUUCCUGUACCUCCCCCAACAUCAACCAAUGACUCCAAUCCCAUGAACAUCCCUUUGCAUUUCUCAAUCACCCAACUAGUGAUUGAGAAACAAUUCUGGGAUUAAUUCUGGGAUCACUGCCAGCAUACUCCCAAAACAAUUUCCCAUGUUCCAUUUCAAAGGGUGUAGUAAUACCAUUUUUGAACCAACUAGAAAACUGAUUCCAUGGAUUUGUUAAAACUGGAUCAAGCAUGGCCUGCAGGAAAGGUGCCAUACUCAUUUCAUGGCUCUUAANCAGAAGNAAAGAGGCAUCAGUGAGUGCAUANUUGACUUCAAGNUCGUUNUCGGUGUGANUGAGUUGAGAGAAGAAGCCAGAAUGGACCAUGAUUCGCAUCAAGCGAGGGAUGAAGUGAGUUUUGGAAGAGUGAAUUGGAAGUGAAGCAAUGAGGUUUGAGAGUGAGAUGGGUUGGCCAUGGUUGUGUAUGAUGUCUGCUAUGCCUAACUCAACAACACACUUAAGGGACAUGGAGUUUAUGAAGUUAAAAAUAUGAUUCCAUAUGUGUGUUUGAGCCCUCAGUAGUUUCGCGUCAUGGGAUUCCAUAAUUUGUUGCAUAAACUACUUG
rnacentral:lncRNA from 1 species